rnacentral:lncRNA from 1 species
UUUUGUGAUGGGGGCAAAAUAGUCAUAUUUGGGACAGUUGAGUUCAAAGCCAUGGCUUUGAAGAGUAAACUGCAAAAACUACCCCUGUGUAAUCUCGAAAUAGCAAAAACCCCCCUGUGAUAAAUAAACUAGCAAAAGCCUCCCCUGUGAAAUUAUUUAAAUAGCAAAAACCCCCCUAUGGAAUUAUUUGAGGGUUGACUUGAUAUAAAAAGACACAAAUACCCCUGGAGUCUUGCAAUUAAUAAAUUCUUAUAUUUUAUAAAUAUUUUAAUUAUUUUAUUUAAAAAAUAAUCAAUUUAGUUGUUUACUAUUUUUUUUUAAUUUCUAGUCAAACAAAUUAAAAAGAAUAAAUAUACAUAUAAUAUGUAUAUAUAUAAAUACAUUUUGAGGGACAAUUUUGUCAUUUCAAGUCUAAAAAAUCAGCUAGGAGGGAUUCUGCCUUUGACUAAAUUUCACAGGGGGGUUUUUGCUAGUUUAUUUAUCACAGGGGGUUUUCGCUAUUUUGAGAUAACACAGAGGUAGUAUUUGCAGUUUACUCUAGCUUUGAAUGUAGAAGAUGAAAGCUCUCUUAAACAUUAAUUGCUUUCACUUGACCAUAAAAUCCCACAUUGACAAAUAUGUCCAAGUUGACAUUUAUGAGUCAACCCCCUUUUUUUAAUUCAAAAUGUUUGGUAUAAUUUAUCAUACUCUAAUUUGCUAUUUGUGUGCAUAUGUGUUCUUAACUUAAUUGAAACCUAAUCCUAUUAGAAUCUAGUUUUAUAAUUCAAUGAAGAUUGUACGGUUAUGAGCCAUGCAGCACGAAAACGUCGACACGGUGAAGCAGACACUUUAUAAAGACAUAUUUCAAUAAUGGGGAUACGAAAACUUUGGAGAAAUGUGUCAAUGUUAAAAGUAUAUUUAUUUCUAUAUUGACACUUUAUAAGUUUUUAUUUAUAUAUAAUUUUUUUUAUAUAUUCAAAAUAAAUAUUAUUAUCACCUAUCAAUUUACAAUUGAUCAUUAGAUCAUGUAAAUAAAUAGGCGAUCGACAAAAAUAUCUGAAAAUUUGCUGUUCAAACAUGUUACUAACAACUUUUCAUAAAUUACAAAAUGACCGAUAAGGUUUUUGGCACGUGUUCUAAAGUGUCGGACAUGAAUAGUAACAUACGUUAUGAAGCUUUUACAAAUGAUAAAAAUCAUGUGUGAUGUAACUCAUUGGGCUUGUCGCAAUGAAGCCCAAAUUAAUUUUUAUUUUAUGUUACUAAAGCCCAACUUUAGAUCUUAUUAAGAAAAAUAGGCCCAAAUCUCGAACAAGGGCUUUAGUUAUCACAACUUUUGGCCCAUUUUUUUCUUUCUUUUUUUGAGAUUAGGUCCAAUUUAAAUAAUGGGCACUAUUUCUUUUAAUUAAUUGUAAAUUUUGUUUUUACUUAAUUUUUAUUAAUCUCUUUAUCUAUUAAUCUGAAUGUAUACAAAUAAUAUAUGUAUCGAUAUAUUUGUACGUAAAAAUUCAUACCUAGUGGUGAUAAUAGUAGAAGAUUAAAGGUGAAGCCCCUAUAUAUAAAAUAUAAAACUUGAGUGCGUAUAUAUGAAAAGUAAUUAGGGUAGUGUGUUUGGAGGUUAGGGCACCAUUGGUAGGGUUAUGUUAUGUAUGUGUGUUUUCUGACGUGAAAACAGAGCAUGACGUCAUCAUUAAAUCACCCAUCAUGCAUGCCUAUGCACAGUUGUUAAUUUAUUAUUUUUAAUAGGGUAAUUAAUUCAAAUAUCCUUGAGUUACGGUCAAUUUACGAAAAAACUCCUCUUGUUUUAAUAAUUGUAUCUUCCCAUCAACUAUGAUUUUUUCUUACAUUUUCACCCUUAUGGUGUCAAAUCUAACAUAAUUAUCUAGAUUUCGUGGAAUAUGCUCUAGUUUGUAUUCGUUUUGUGUAAAAUACAGUUUCUGAUACACCACAAUCUGAUAUACACAAGCCAAAAAACACAUAUUAUGAUCAUCUUGCUUCAAAAUGUGUAGUUCAAUUGGAAUUAACAAAUGGAAUUAACCAAGUACAACAUAUAAUCUCGAAUAUUCCACUCUCGAAGAUUCCACUAAAUUUGAAACCGUAAGGAUGGACGUGUAAGAAGAUUUAUGGUUGAGUGAGGUUGUUGCAAUUACCCAAAUAAGAUGGGGUUUUGUAAUUUAACCAUAAAUCAGAGCUGGUUGUAAUUUACCCUUUUUAAUAUUAUACUAAAUUUCUAUUAAUACUAUUGUUCUUAUUUUUAAUUAUUUUAAGAAACGAAGAGUAGAAUAAUAUAAAGUGAUAUCGCGACCGAAAGUGAAAUUUAACCUAGAAAAAAAUAGUAAAAUAAUUGUAGCAUCAAUACCCAGGUAGCCCUUGGAUCGAGAUCAGACGGUCAGUAAUACUUUUCAGUUCAAAGCUGUACAUAUAUAUACCUACUUGGUUUUGCUUUUACCUAAACUGACAAAAAGAAUUAUCAACACCUAGUUACACGUGUCCGUCCCUUCUUAAUGCAUCACUAAUUAAUAACCUCAUUUACUUAUUAGCUUAAUUAAACAUAAAGAAAUACAAAAAAUUAAACUAAUUAAUUUGAUUAAAAUAAUGUGAUGUGAAAGGGACAGGCUGUAACCUGGCGAUGAUUGCGUCACCUGGGGGUGACAGGCUACCAAAAGAAAGAUCUUUUGCUUAUCUGAAGUGGCCAUAUUACCAAUUACCCAUAAAAAUUACUGUAGUAGUAGUAGUAGUAAAAAUUAAAAGCUGGCUCAGUUAAAAACUGUUUGUACGGCGUUAAAUAUAACCCCAUACACACAACACAACUCCCAGUUCCAAGUUACGAUGACGUUUUGGAUUUCCGUUUUCUCCAAUUCCGUCCGUUGGAUCUCUUUAAUAUCCGACCGUUGGUAAUUGUUUCUUAAUUGGGGUGCGUUUGGUGAUUAAAAUGUCUGAACAGAUAAUUAACUAUUUAUUAAGGUGCAAUUUGAUUUACACCCCCAUUGAUCACUAAAACCUUAGCCAUAGGUAAAUUAGACCUAUGCCUAGCGCCCCAAAACUUUUGUAUAUUAUAUUAGGACCCUAAAAAACUAUGUUUUGUUACAUAUAGGGUCCUGAGAUAUGAACUUUUUUUUGGAAAAUUUUAUAUAAAUAAAUGGGAAUGGAGUACAAAAAGUAUAUUAUAAUUAAUGCUUGUAAUAAUUAUACAUAAAAUAACAAAUAUUACCCAAACAAAUUUACUAUCAUAUUAAAAAAAGAAGAAUAAAGGCUCAAAAUUUAUUUUUUUUGCCCAGAGCCCAUAUAAAUUUGGGCCGGCUGGCUCUAACACUAAUACUUUUUCAAAUCAGUGCAAUAGAUUUAGUUGGUGACGACACACGCCCAUUCGAUCGUAGGACUUUUGGAUCCCGAGCGAACUUUAUAGAUGUAGUUGAUGAGGCCGCUAGCAUGGGCGACGGCGAUGUGUUUCUUUUUUCUUCUUCGAAAAUAAUAUUACAAUGGAUAGGCUAAAAAAAUUAGUGGUUCGGCGACUUCGGUAAACAUUUAUCGAUUUUUUUGAAGAAAUAAUACAACUUUAAACAUGGUAACUUUAUAUUGUAAUGAUAAAUAUGAAGAAAAAAAAUUAUAUAUGAGUACGGACAAAUUAAACAGAAAAAAUGAUGGUGCUAAAAUCAUUGAACAUUUAAACGGCACCAAAUAUUUUGAAGGACUUUUUAGCUAAUUUUCAUUAAGAUCAAAAUAAUACAGAUGGUAUUUUCGUAAUUAGUGAUUUGAUUCGGGGGCAUGUAUGCAAAUAAACCUUUCCAUCGACAAUUAUUAAACUCUUGAUGGGCCCCACAAUCAGAAGUUGGGGGAGCAACAAAUAUUUCUAAUCCUGAUUGAUUUUCUUCUUUGAAGAUGAUCCAUCCAUGUCAAAUUUAUUAUUAGAUUUUUUUUUCCGCCGUCAACUCUAACGGAGAAGCGACGUCAACUCCUUCUCCUUCCCACAAAGGAUUAUUCGAUUAUUCGUUAAAAUCCAAACGGCGCAAAUUAUCAGCUCAGCUAGCAAUCAUUGUCCUACACACUUCUCUACUCUUCCAGCUAUCUCUGCAGCUCCUCCUCCUCCUCCCCCCCACCCCUUCCGCCUCCUACCCCACAUACUCCAUCGUCGAAUCUUCGCCGGAAAACCCACCGGAAAAUCUCCUCUUUCAAAAUCAAAAAUCACCAAAAACAGGUAACUAUAUAUUAUGAAAACCCUUUUUUUUUUUCUUGAUCUUUUUGUGUGCGUGCUUAGUUUUGUUAAGUGAUUUGUGUGUGUGUGUGUGUGUGUAUACAUACACUUUUAUGUUUCUUGAAUACAUGCAAAAAUCUGGGGAUUAUAUUUCGUUUUUUUUGUUUGUUUCAUUUUAGUAGAGAAUCAAGAAACUAAAAAGAAAAAAAAAAAGAAAAGAAAAAAAAAUCCAGUCUUGACUUUUUGAUUCUUUGUCCGAACAAACACUGUUUGUGUUUCAAUAUGUGCAGAUGAUGUUUAAUUUGUCUUGAGGUAGUUUCUUCGUCUGAAGAAAGAGAGAGAAUACAAAAAUAAAAUAUAUAAAAAAAUACAGUAGUACAGCCUCGAAAUCUAGGGUUUUUGAGGUGAAAAGUUUGAACCUUUUUCUUUUUUUUUUUUUUUUUUUUUUUUUUUUUUUUUUCUCUAAAUCUUUAUGAUGAUAUAUAAAUAUACUGGUGUAGUACAGUGUCUAGUCCCAUGAUCUCGUCUUGUUCCUCUCUUUUUUAUUUAUUUUUUAUUUUUUAUUUUGUGAAUCUUUCAGACAUAUGAUUAAAUAGUAAAACAGUGAAUAUAACAGGUCUAUUUUACUGUUUUUGCUUGUAUGGGGAACCAUUGUUUCUGAUAAAGGUUUUUACUAUUUCACUUUCUUUCUUGAUUUUGAUUGAUACUCAGAUUAAAUUUCCCUUAUUUUUUACUAUCUUUUUUCUCCGCAUUUUCACUUGUCCUAGAUUACUGUCCUAAAGUCUUUUUGUUUGUUGCUUAUUUGUACUCUUGUUGUAAGGAAUGUGUGUGUAUGUGUGUGUGAGUGUGUGUGUUAUCUUCUAUGAAAUUUGCUGUAUUUGUGAACUUUUUGUUUAUGUUUUUCUUUAUUCUAAUGAUAAUAAUACAUAUAGUUUGUUAAUGCAUGCAGGAUUUGGUCAUUCCUCCGACCGAAAACGAGUGUAAUCAACACCGCCUUUAGUUUGAGAUCAACUGAUCAAUUCGAAAUGUUGUUCAAGACUACAAUGAAAUCCUAGUGUAAUUAAUAGUUAUUAUUCAUGGAUAUGAGCAACUUUAGGCCUGAACUCCACGUUGCGCAGCAAAGCCGUCGAGACAAGCUGAGAAUCCAGCACGAAUCGAACGGGCCCCAUCACAACAUAGAAGUUUACAUCAACAAUUUGGAGCAGCAGCAACAUCAUGGUCUAAAUAAUUACGAAUCCGCUAUCCCUCGAACUUUCCGACCCGGAAGCAUAUGCUACAACCCAUCGGAAAUCUGCCCGGAAGUCCUCAAUUUCCCGCCGGAAAAUCAAGAACCGGAUAAACGGGCUCCGUUCGAGAAUUUCUACAGGGAAAUUCCAACCGCAGAUGUGAGUAAUGACCCACAAUACUUUAACACAUGGAAAACUGUCGGCUCGCAGUCUACCACCACCGAUAAUAAUUGGGUGCCUAAUGAUAAUAAUAAUACUCAAAGCCCGAUUUUUGUCGGAGCUCGUAUGUCGACAUUGGACAAUGUCAAACCUUAUCUAGGAUAUCAAGAUAAUCAUAACAUGCAUUGCACCUCUUCAUCACUCUACCAAAAUGCACUGCAAGAACUCGUUACAUCUUCGAACGUUCGACCUUUCGGUUUCGAAUCGGCUUCUUUUAGGCAAAUGGGCCCGCAAGACACGCGGGCCCUCUCGUUGUCCCUUUCGUCAGUUCCGUCUCCAAGAGUGCAUGCAACUCAGAUUGCUGACCACAUUCAAGAAACGGUUACCUGGAAGCCGGAAUUUUCGACUGCCGGUGGUAGCAACUUGGCGAGCGCUUCGACUCAUCGGAAUCCGGGCCCGCUUGGUCCUUUCACGGGCUAUUCAACCAUUCUUGGGAAUUCGAAAUUUCUGAGGUCAGCGGAGCAGUUAUUAGACGAACACUGCUGCGGGUCCCGGCAUAAGAACGUUGAUGUUUGUGAGGUGUCGAAUAAGAUUUCGGAGGUAGUUAGGGUUUCGGUUGGUGAUCUUGAAAAUGAUCUAGAUGGUGUCGGUGGCUCGUCAUUUGCGUUCAAUGGCUCAAAUGAUUCUUAUCAGCCCGAAAGUCUUCAGAAGAAGGCGAAGCUUAUGUACAUGCAGGAUGAGGUAAUUGGUGAAACUUUUAUGGCAUUUUUUUAAUCUUUUUUUCCGAAUAUUUCGAUUAUGUUUGUGAUGAACAUUGCUUACAUAUGUGUGAAAAAAAUUCAAACUAGAGCAGUAAUUAAUUGAUUGAAUUAAUGUUAAAAUAAUUACCGCACAUAAGUACCCGUCGUAUAAUUGAUUGAAUUCAUGUAAAUAACUGUACAAUGCAAGAUAACUAGAGACGGAGGUUUUAUCUCGUUUGUGGAAUCUUGAAAUUUUACAUACUUAAGAGUUAUAAAACUCUCUGCAUAUCAACAUGUCAUAUAACUAAUCGAUUUUCUUGAAAUAUGUAAAUAGCUAAAAAAAAAAUCUUCCUUUUUUUCUGAAUUAGGUGUGCAAAAAGUAUAAACAGUACCAUCAGCAGAUUCAAAUGGUGGUUUCAUCCUUCGAAUCCGUGGCGGGACUUAGUGCUGCAACUCCGUACGUUUCUUUAGCUCUAAAAACGGUGUCCAAGCAUUUUCGGUGUUUGAAAAACGCAAUAACGGAUCAGCUUAAAAGCAUGAGAAAUGCAUUGGGGGAAGAACUAAUGUCACCCUCCGUUGACACAAGAAGUAUCAAAGGCGAUGCUGGUGGUUCGAUGUUGAAGUUUUUUGACCAUGGCUUUAAUAAGCAGAAAGGGACAGCUGGCGGUUUAGGCAUUCUUGAAAGUCAACAUAUUUGGCGGCCACAGAGGGGCCUUCCGGAACGUUCCGUCUCGAUUUUAAGGGCGUGGUUGUUCGACCAUUUUCUUCAUCCGUAAGAACUCUCUCCCUCUCUCUCUCUCUGAAGAAGUGUGGUAUGAGAACAUGAAAUUAUGAGAUAAUAUUUGAAUUCUGCUAAUUCCGAUGUGGAUAUUUCCGAUUUUGGAACAAUAUUUUUCAUUUGAAUCCGAAGUUAUGAUUUCCGAUCUUCUCUCCAAUUUUUUGGAAUCGAAUUGGAAUACAUUUUAGAUUUCGAAUUCCGAUGCUGGAUCUUAAUUUUCAAAAAUAUUUUCUAAAAUUUUGAUUUUACUCCUAAAUUUAUCAUGUAUUUUUAUAUUAUAUGUAACUAAUAAUUGAAAAUUAAUGCCAAUUCCGAUAAAAAAAAAAUCCGAUUUUGCAACAAGUUUUUUCAUUCCAAUUUUCGAACUUCAGAAAUUCAAAAUUUUCGGAAUAGAAUUGAAAUUAGUUGCUGGUUUCCCACGCGAAUCUUGAUUGAAUUGAAUUUAUAUUUGUGUGUGAAGGUAUCCCACAGACACCGACAAGCACAUGUUGGCCACACAAACCGGCUUAACAAGAAACCAGGUACAAAUUUUAUAUUCAAGCUCGACUUUUUUUUCGGACACUCCUAAUUAGUAUAUUGACUUUUAUACCCCUGAAUCAGGUUUCUAACUGGUUUAUCAAUGCUCGAGUUCGUGUAUGGAAGCCUAUGGUUGAGGAAAUACACAUGCUAGAAACCAAAGGAGUGUCCGAAACAGGAUCAGGAGUACUAUUAAAUGCUCCAAAAACCACAAAUCAUAACGAAGGUUUCGACCAAUCAAACGAAAGCAGCAACCAACCAUUGAAUAGGCUAAAAAUGAGUUCGAUUAUCGACAAACAAAUGGUGGAAUAUUCCUCGGCCGAGCAAGAAGAUGCCGUUGGAUCGAACGUAAAUGUGUGGAAUCAAGAAAAGCGUUCUCGUGUAGAGUAUCAUGUUCCGUCGGGCCCCACCCCCGAUGGAUCAAUGAUGGAAUAUUCCUUGAUGAUGCCUCCUCACCGAAGUGGGCCCGAGAUGGGUGGGCUUGGUUCGGUUUCACUUACGUUGGGAUUGAGACAGAGUGCCGAGAGUGGUCAACGGUCACGUUUUGGAGGUCAGAUUAUUCGAGACUAUGUUGGCUGAUUAUAUCUAUAUAUAGUGUUAAUGUAAUGUAGUCUCUUUAAUUAGCUGCAAUAAUAUUGGGUGCUUUGUGGGAUUUUAAGGUAGAAAUAGAAAAGCCUGAGAAAAAGGGAAAAAAAAAGUCGAAAAUCGAAAAUUUCAAGAAAAAGAUGCAAUUUUUAGUUGGAAUACCGAUGGAGAAAAUGUGCAUGUAGUGGUACGGUGAUAUAUAUUUUGAAAACAAAGUGUCGAAAUAUGGUUUCUUGCGGCUUAUAUAUAUAUUCGGAAUUUUUGGUGUUUGGUUUUGAAAUUCAGCAUUCGCAUGACUGUGUUUUAUGUUUUAUAAUAUUUUUAGACAAUUAUCUUUUAUAAUAUUAGUUGCAGAUGCUUUAGUUACGAUUAUACCAUUAUAUUCAUGCAUGAAGAUUUUUAUAUCAUCAGAUGAGUAGAGUUAUAUAUAUAUAUACAGAUAUAUAUAUAAAUAUAUAUAUAUAUAUAUAUAUAUAUAUAUAUAUAUAUAUAUAUAUAUAUAUAUAUAUAUAUAUAUAUAGAGAGAGAGAGAGAGAGAGAGAGAGAGAGAGAGAGAGAAACAGAAAAUAUGAUAAUACUAUGUAAUUAAUCUCUGCCAGGACUAGUGCCACCUUGUCUGUUGAAAUCCGGUAUGGAGUAAGCAUGGUGAUUCUCCCCGUUCAAAUUAUUACCAUCAUCUUCAUCGUCGUCGUCGUUAACAACAACUCCGUUAUUACCGUCGCCAUUUUUAGUACCUUCGGCCUUUAAUCCCUUAUGCUGCGUUUCGUCUGCAACUAUUCUCCUCGCUUUUGCCAUGCAAGAUCCCAUCAUCAGCAAAACGAAAACAAUCGCAAAAACACGCGUCCUACCCAUCCUUUGCAUGUCUGUAUCAAUAUAUAUACACACCUGUCAUUCACAAAUUCAAAUAUAAUCACGAAAAAAAAAACAAAAAAACGAAGCGUUUCAAUAUAAUAUGUAUAUACAUCGAGAUUAUUGAUGACUUACGAACGAGUUUGUGGUGUGAAGAAUGAUCAGUUGUUUGGAAUUAAGUGAGAAUGCAUGUAUUUAUAGUUGCAUUGCAUGUAUUUAUACACACACACACACACACACACAUGUGUGUGUGUGUGUGUGUCCCCUGUGUGUGUGUGUGUGUGAUGAAAUUUGUGGAUGGGGUCUCCACCAAAUGAGGCAAGAUUAAGUGGGGUGCCCAUAGAUUAAUCAAAUUAAUGAUGGAUUUGGAGGAAAAUUAUCAGGCCAUUAUGAAAGAGCUAUAUAUAUACACACAUUAUAUAUGUAUGUAUAUAAAGUUGAUAAACCAGGAGGCAAAAAGUCAAUGGAAAACAGUGAAAUCCCUGCUAUAUUUGCAUUGCGAUGGCACGUGGGGUAUGGUUAAUUUAUAUUUAGUGUUGUUUUUAUUACAAAAAGUGAUCUGAUUAAAGCAAAUGAAAUAAUGUGUGUGUGUGUUGGUUUCUUAGUAAAUGGAAUCAAGAGAAGCCAUUAUUGACAGUGGCUCCUCUACCAACAGAAAUCUCCACAUUUAUUCAUUCAUACUAUUUCUGUCAUUUACUGCAAGUUGUUGGCCUGCCAUAAUUGUUCUAAUUACCCUACUAAUUGAUAUUAUAUUAUUAUAUCCAUUCAGUGACCGACACGUGGGCUGAAAAUCAAAUCAAACGGCCAGAUACUCGAUUCAAGAAUGUUCGGUUGAAGAUUUGGGUUCAGUUUUCUUCGGUACUCAUUCGGAAUGAUAGAUUAUUAAACAAAACUCAGAAAUAAAAGAGGGAAAGAGAAAUACGAACAGUUGUAGUUCCAACACACGGAACUAAUAUCAUUAUCCAAAAUGGCUUAGUUCGCCCUUUUGUUCAGUGUACUGUCCAGAAAUGCGACUUCAUAUCGGAAACUAGCACCAAGCCAAGCUACUAAAUUCACGAAACUGAUCUAGAUCUACCCAAUAUCACACUGAGUUGCCUCACUGACACAUGCACUGUUAACAAGUCAUCAAAGGAACACUCUCACUAGCUCUAAGUUAAACACUUCAAUCACCCACUACAACGGAAGAUUGAAAAGAUGAAAACUCGAAGAAGUGAACAAUAAAGUGUUACAUUUAUUAUCCCUCUCUAUAAGGGCAAUAUAAAUAGGCACGAAACCAAAUGGUCAGAAACUGUAAAGUUGUCUCGUAGUCAAAGUCAGCAAUAUAUACGUCGAAGACUCAGUAAAGAGUUACUAGAGAAAGAAAUGGAUCAUGACGAAGGUACUAUAUAGAGAACGAGGGAAAAAGAGGAGAGAGAGAAGCGACGCAAUUCAAAUGAAUUUGUUUUAGUUUUGUAAAUCCUAUAUAACUAGCUUUAAUAUUUCUUUCGAGGGUAAAUUAUUAGGCUACAAUAGAUAUACUUAAUGGGGUCUUUGUAGCAUUGGUUAUUUAUUUCCGAUUUUGGGCCGAGGCCCAUAUUUUGCCAAUGUUAGAAUGGAAUUUUGAUUCUCUAAAUUUUAUGUUUAAACUAAAAUAAAAUAAAAUCUCGUUUUGAAUAAAUUAUACUUAUUUUCCAUAAUUUUAAAAUAUCACAAUUUUAACCCUAAAUAGACCGAUUUACAAUAUUAAUGUCUGUGAGAUGCUAUACCUGGUGAAUUUUUUUACACCAUAGAUCUAUGCAAAUAAAUACCCACUGAGCACACACACAUGAGUGUGUUAUUAUGUGUACAUCAACAGUACAGGAUUACACGGUGUAUUGCACCGGGUGUAGAGGUUUCUUUUCUCAUCCUAAAGUUGCAAUUCUUCUACCAAUUUUCUUGGGGUUUUGCAUUUUCACACCUUGCUGAAGGCUGCUUGGAAGUUUCUUUUUACUUGCAUGCCCUUUUCACAUUAAUUAAUAGUAAUUAGUCAAAUUAAUUCCAUAUUAAAUAUCUUAAUCUAAGAUUUUGAAGACUAUUAUGUUUCACUUUUGAGACUAAUACGAGCACUUCUCCACCUGGCACAAAGAAUUAUAUUUUGACCCUUAUUUAGUUUGAUCAUGAUGUAAUUAAUGCAUUGAAAUUUAAUAUUAGACAAAUAGUCAAAUAAUUUUUAUCAUGGGCCAUGGCUGCUUAUGAUCCUGUUAUCUACAGUUGAUAACUAAUUAAGUGCAAUAAUAUAAUAAUUCAUUCAUUCAAAAUAAACUAAAUGGUAAAUUACACCUACACCCCUGAGAAAUGUUAAAAUAAUUUUAAGGUCCUUGUAGUAUCGGUAAUUACAAUCACCCACCUGAAACAUUGUUAUGACCCCUAACGGAAUUAACACAUUGGAUAAGUUAUUCCGUUAGUGCUUCUAACAGACUAUUAGUUUCAGGCAGUGGUGGAGACAACAUAGAGCUAGAGGGUGACAUAGCCCUCCUAACAUUUCUUAAAUGCUUAUACAUUUUCAUCUGUGGUAACAUUAACGGCCACGCGAGAAACAAAUAUAAUGCAUAUCGGUCCCCAGGACAUGAAAUCUUGGCUCCGGCAAUUGUUUCAGGGGUGUGGUUGUAAUUACCAAUAUCACAAGGACCUUAAAAUUAUUUUAUCAUAUCUUAAGGGUAUAUGUGUAAUUUACCCAAAAAGAAAUAAACGAGUAUAUAAUUAUAUAUAUUGCGUAAUGAGUGACCGCAGCCGCAAACAGUUAAGACCAACAUUCCCGGGCACGUGGAGUCAAAUAAACAAAAUUAACGGCAGGCGAAAAUCGUGUUACAAAAGAGCAGACUUUAGUUCUAAAAUCGCACUGUAUUUUAAAUGCGUUUUCCCAUUGACUAACUAAUGGACAUCACUCCUUAAUAAUCACAACGGAAAAAAUACCCCUAAAACAACAAAUACUAGAUCUAUUAUUAUAUGAGUAAUAAUAUUUAAAUAUUAAAUAAUUGUAUAUUUUGAAAACCGAUCUAUGAGAGGCUACACCUGGUGUAACGUACUGGAUGGUUUUGGUCCAUAAAUUUAUAUAAAUAAUUAUCGGUGUGUGUGUGUUAUUAUGUGUAGAUCGAUGGUUUCAGUGGAUGUAACAUCUGAAAAAACCACCGAAAACCCAUAUGUAGAACCUUUGCGUUCUUCCAAAGAGGAAGUAUAAAGAGGACCAUAAUUCCGAAAAUACCCUCGUGGGUCAUUUUCCAUGGUGGUCAAUUUUGACUUUUGUGGGGGCAUAUGGUCCAAUUUUUUCAUGUUGUGAACAUCCAAAUCGUGUGCUCAAUCCUUUGAUACCUGAAAUUGAACUUUCGUGCAUGAAAGUUCAAUUGAAAUCAACUACUUUUUCUUUAUUAUAUUAUUAAUUAUUUAUAUGCUUCCACACACCAACUCCAACACUCCAUAUAUAAUUAUUAAUUAUUUAUAUGCUUUUCCACACCAACUCCAACACUCCAUAACACAUUUCAAAUAUUGCAAAUUAAAUCAAGAAAUAUAAUACAAUAUGAUAAAGCUAACAACCAUGAAACUCAAUUUUUUUUCUCAAUGCUUCUUCAUUGUUCUUGUUCUUGUACUCUCAUUUGCAUGCUUCACAAUAGCCCAAGAAGUUGGUAAGUUAAACCAAUUUCCUUUUUUUUUUUUUUUUUUGUAAUGGAGAAAAAGAAAAGUUGGGAAGAUUAAUCUUUUUUUUUUUUUUGGAUAAAUGUUUAUUGCAGAAAAUGAGAGGGAGUUCAGUUACCAAGAGGGUAGCAAAAUCGGGCCGAGCCGUUGGGGAGAGAUCCGGCCCGAAUGGAAGGAUUGUAACGCCGGGAAAAUGCAAUCUCCGAUUGAUUUGUUGAAUCGAAGGGUCGAGAUUGUUUCCCAUUUAGGCAGACUCAAGAGAGAUUACAAACCUGCUAAUGCUACUCUUAUCAAUAGAGGCCAUNNNNNNNNNNNNNNNNNNNNNNNNNNNNNNNNNNNNNNNNNNNNNNNNNNNNNNNNNNNNNNNNNNNNNNNNNNNNNNNNNNNNNNNNNNNNNNNNNNNNNNNNNNNNNNNNNNNNNNNNNNNNNNNNNNNNNNNNNNNNNNNNNNNNNNNNNNNNNNNNNNNNNNNNNNNNNNNNNNNNNNNNNNNNNNNNNNNNNNNNNNNNNNNNNNNNNNNNNNNNNNNNNNNNNNNNNNNNNNNNNNNNNNNNNNNNNNNNNNNNNNNNNNNNNNNNNNNNNNNNNNNNNNNNNNNNNNNNNNNNNNNNNNNNNNNNNNNNNNNNNNNNNNNNNNNNNNNNNNNNNNNNNNNNNNNNNNNNNNNNNNNNNNNNNNNNNNNNNNNNNNNNNNNNNNNNNNNNNNNNNNNNNNNNNNNNNNNNNNNNNNNNNNNNNNNNNNNNNNNNNNNNNNNNNNNNNNNNNNNNNNNNNNNNNNNNNNNNNNNNNNNNNNNNNNNNNNNNNNNNNNNNNNNNNNNNNNNNNNNNNNNNNNNNNNNNNNNNNNNNNNNNNNNNNNNNNNNNNNNNNNNNNNNNNNNNNNNNNNNNNNNNNNNNNNNNNNNNNNNNNNNNNNNNNNNNNNNNNNNNNNNNNNNNNNNNNNNNNNNNNNNNNNNNNNNNNNNNNNNNNNNNNNNNNNNNNNNNNNNNNNNNNNNNNNNNNNNNNNNNNNNNNNNNNNNNNNNNNNNNNNNNNNNNNNNNNNNNNNNNNNNNNNNNNNNNNNNNNNNNNNNNNNNNNNNNNNNNNNNNNNNNNNNNNNNNNNNNNNNNNNNNNNNNNNNNNNNNNNNNNNNNNNNNNNNNNNNNNNNNNNNNNNNNNNNNNNNNNNNNNNNNNNNNNNNNNNNNNNNNNNNNNNNNNNNNNNNNNNNNNNNNNNNNNNNNNNNNNNNNNNNNNNNNNNNNNNNNNNNNNNNNNNNNNNNNNNNNNNNNNNNNNNNNNNNNNNNNNNNNNNNNNNNNNNNNNNNNNNNNNNNNNNNNNNNNNNNNNNNNNNNNNNNNNNNNNNNNNNNNNNNNNNNNNNNNNNNNNNNNNNNNNNNNNNNNNNNNNNNNNNNNNNNNNNNNNNNNNNNNNNNNNNNNNNNNNNNNNNNNNNNNNNNNNNNNNNNNNNNNNNNNNNNNNNNNNNNNNNNNNNNNNNNNNNNNNNNNNNNNNNNNNNNNNNNNNNNNNNNNNNNNNNNNNNNNNNNNNNNNNNNNNNNNNNNNNNNNNNNNNNNNNNNNNNNNNNNNNNNNNNNNNNNNNNNNNNNNNNNNNNNNNNNNNNNNNNNNNNNNNNNNNNNNNNNNNNNNNNNNNNNNNNNNNNNNNNNNNNNNNNNNNNNNNNNNNNNNNNNNNNNNNNNNNNNNNNNNNNNNNNNNNNNNNNNNNNNNNNNNNNNNNNNNNNNNNNNNNNNNNNNNNNNNNNNNNNNNNNNNNNNNNNNNNNNNNNNNNNNNNNNNNNNNNNNNNNNNNNNNNNNNNNNNNNNNNNNNNNNNNACAUUAUUCUCUCUAUUUUCAGAUUUUGUAGUUAUUUUAUAUUAAUAAAUAAUUAUAUAUAUAUUUUUUCUAAUUUAGUUUACAUAAUUAUUCACUAGGUGAGGACAGUGACAAGGGAGCAAGUACGAUUGAUUCGAGAUGCUGUCCACGAUGUAAGUCGCUCGAAUUAAUCGGAAAAAAGAAUUAGACAUUAAUUAGUUUGAAUUUGAAGUAUUCUUGAUAUUGACGUACUGUGUGAUUCUUCGUAUAGGAAUCGGAGGUGAAUGCGAGGCCGAUCCAACCAUUACACGACCGUUCGAUAGAACUUUAUAGACCAAAGGAUCGUGAGAACUAAUUAAAAUCGGCUACGAAAUAUAUAUAUAAAUAGUUACAUGCAUACAAUAUGUUCAUUGAGAUUAUUUUGCAUUUAUUUUUUGCAUUUGUUAUAAAACUUAUCAUUCUUAUAUAAAUUAUAUAUAUGUUCCAUGAAUCCCAUUUCUGUAAAAUUAAAUACAAAUAAACAUUUAUCCAAAUUAAAAUACAUUUUCUUCUAAAUUAUUUCACACCAUUCUAGCAAGAAUCUUGAUGACGUCAUCCAUUGAAGGCCUACGCAAAGGGUCAACGUCAACACAAGAUCCACCUAAUACAACCAAACACAAAGCAUCUGCAAUUGGAUAAUCAUCCUUCAAACAAGGGUCAACAAACCUCCUCAAUUAAGUUGGACAAAGCACCCCCCUUCCCCCCACCCCCACCCCCCAAUACACCAAGAGAAUAUUCCCUCAUAACGCUCCCAUCUACACUCCCCUUCCCCGAAACCAACUCUAGCAAAACCACUCCGAACGAGAAAACAUCGACCCUUUCGGAAAUGGGCCCCGCCCGAUUUCCGAAAACCGCGAUUUUCGCCCUCCAAUCCGAUGUCAAGAAAAUAUUUUCCGUGCUUACGCUCGAGUCGUGACUAUAUGAAGGGAUCACGGAAUAGUGAAGAUAGUGUAGUCCAUUUGCAAUAUCGAACGCAAUUUUAGUCCUUUUGCGCCAACUAAGAGCGUAAUUGGACGAUAACAAACAUUCCCUUAAGCUCCCGUUUAACGGGAGCUCGUAAACGAGAUAAGCCGAUGAGAAAUCGUAACAAACUCCUUCGAGCUUCACAAUAUUGACAUGAUUAAUCUUGGAAUGAAUAUCGAUGACUUUCUUUACCUCCUCAAAUCUCAUCCGUUUGAUCAUUACAUCACAACCGUCGAUUUUUCCCUUGUACACAUUAUCACUAGUUACCGAAUCGAAAUUUUCGGUCCCACUUUUUAGGUCUUCCACACUAUACAUACAUAGAGAGUACUUCAAUUCGGCUCGUAAAACAGGAGACAAGCACGAAUUCAUAGAUAACGGAGUACUCGAAGAUCGAAGAACGUUUCGAUUCUUGAAAUUAUUCAAUGUCUUUACAUACAAAACACAAGCCACUAAAAGAGCGACAACGAGAGAAAAAACGACAACGGAUCCUACGAUAUAUAUCUUCUUAAUUCGAGCUAUUUUUCGGGUAUUUUUCUCGAAAGGGUUUGUGGGAAGAAACGUAGGUAUAGGAGGGUCGACAGAAUCAAGAAAGUCGAGAUUCAAGAACGGCUCAUUUUUCAACGGUACUAAAAUGGUUGUGUUUGGAUACACGGUUGGCGUGGGGUCCAUAUGAUUAGCCUCCCAUAUUUCCUCAACCGAAACAUUGAAUUUCUCGCCGACUUUUCUCGUGUCGUCCCUUUCAACAAAAGGGUACGUCACGAGAUAUUCGACGCCGUUUUUAACGUCGUCGUCAUUCGGACAAGCGCACUUUAAAGGCACGACAAUAACGGAAGCAGAAAAAACAUUUACCUCGUACAGCGUAAUAGAUUUCACCAAACCCUCGAAAACAUCACAAGAAACCGUCGUAAGUGUCGUGUUUUCUCUUUCGGACACUUCAUACGUAAAAUUAGCGUGAGAGAAGUUUCUCAUACUGCAUGAGCAUUGGAUCGGUACGACGAUUUCGUGGCCCGGUCGGAGGAGUUGAGUUGGAAAGGACACGUGUCGGUUGAUGGUGAGUAGGGUUUGCGGAUCGACGGCGAAGAGGCUCGAGAUGGAUAAGAUUGUUCGGAAGCGAUGAUUGGACCGGUAAACGAAGAACGUGCGGCACGUGUUUCUUGAUGAGUUCUUGCCGCACGUGUACCUCGUGCCUGGAUUGUUCGUGUCGGAAUCGCAUGAUGUUCGGUCGUAGUAUUGGAAGCCAUUACUGCAGCUCAGAUGCAAUCCAAUACACACACAUGUGAUUAGGAAAAACAACCAUGGAGAAGAAGACACACACAUUAUAGUGUGUGAGAGAGAAAAAUUGCAUGCAAGAAAGAGUUAGUUGUGGUUGUUAAGAUGAAAGAAAUGAAUAAUUAGUUGAAGUAAAAUGCCAGCAGUUUGAUGGUGAUGAGUGGAUUAAUUAAUCAUGUUUAAGGGAGGAUUAGGGACGAAGUUACAAUUGUCAUGAUAUUUGAGGGAUAAUUAAUCAAUUGCCGGCUGAUUAGGAUGUAAAUUAAAAGAGUGUUUUUGGAAUGUUUCCUCUUGUUAUCUUGUGUAAUUGUUUUGACUUUUGACCACCAUGAAUCAAUCAUGAAUUAAAAAAAUAUUUAUUUAUUUAUAUAUAAAAUUAUUGAGCCACGUACACCGAUGUGCUUAUUAACUAUUAUUUGGGCUAUUAAAUAAGACACGAUCCAAUUAAGUUAAUGGAUCAAUUUCAUUAAUGUAACAACGUAAGUUACAUUAUUGGUAAGUCUAUUUAUAGUUGGACUAUAAUAAGGAUUUCUGGAGGAACACCGGAAAAGAUGAACUAGACGAAGAGAAAAUAAUAGUUGAGUAUUUUGGAAGAAAGUAUUUUUAUUGACAAUAAAAUCGUGACCCUAAUAGGGUUUUAUAUAAGAGAAUUGUAUACAACUAUUUUCCUAAUUUAAGAUCUCUUUAUUCGUCCGAGAUUUAUACAGAUUGAUUAAUCGUUAAUCCUAAUUUACAUACUUUCCUUAUUUAUUUAUGCAGGUUAUAGUAAACCUUCUUAUCAGUUGUCUCCUAGAUCACCACCUACCACUAUUUUUCUUACGUGAUCUAUUGUGUUGACGGACUUAUAUAUACACGAACUGUAUGUUCGUCAAUCUUCUUACGGCUAAGUUUUCUCUUAGCAUCAGUCCGAUUGAUCUUGGUGAUAACCAUUCAUUCGGGUUUUGGCCCAUUAACUUUAAGUAUGGAGAGUUCGGCCCAAUAAUACCAGGAAACAUUUUCCUUUUCUUGAGCCCAAAGUUUUGAAGAUUCUUUUUAUAACACACAUACAUAUAAUUGGUGGUUGAACAAUCAGAAUCAUUAAUGCCUUUUCAAAUAAAGAUAAAUUGAUACGUGACCAAGAAAAUGUCGGAUUUACUUUCUAUANNNNNNNNNNNNNNNNNNNNNNNNNNNNNNNNNNNNNNNNNNNNNNNNNNNNNNNNNNNNNNNNNNNNNNNNNNNNNNNNNNNNNNNNNNNNNNNNNNNNNNNNNNNNNNNNNNNNNNNNNNNNNNNNNNNNNNNNNNNNNNNNNNNNNNNNNNNNNNNNNNNNNNNNNNNNNNNNNNNNNNNNNNNNNNNNNNNNNNNNNNNNNNNNNNNNNNNNNNNNNNNNNNNNNNNNNNNNNNNNNNNNNNNNNNNNNNNNNNNNNNNNNNNNNNNNNNNNNNNNNNNNNNNNNNNNNNNNNNNNNNNNNNNNNNNNNNNNNNNNNNNNNNNNNNNNNNNNNNNNNNNNNNNNNNNNNNNNNNNNNNNNNNNNNNNNNNNNNNNNNNNNNNNNNNNNNNNNNNNNNNNNNNNNNNNNNNNNNNNNNNNNNNNNNNNNNNNNNNNNNNNNNNNNNNNNNNNNNNNNNNNNNNNNNNNNNNNNNNNNNNNNNNNNNNNNNNNNNNNNNNNNNNNNNNNNNNNNNNNNNNNNNNNNNNNNNNNNNNNNNNNNNNNNNNNNNNNNNNNNNNNNNNNNNNNNNNNNNNNNNNNNNNNNNNNNNNNNNNNNNNNNNNNNNNNNNNNNNNNNNNNNNNNNNNNNNNNNNNNNNNNNNNNNNNNNNNNNNNNNNNNNNNNNNNNNNNNNNNNNNNNNNNNNNNNNNNNNNNNNNNNNNNNNNNNNNNNNNNNNNNNNNNNNNNNNNNNNNNNNNNNNNNNNNNNNNNNNNNNNNNNNNNNNNNNNNNNNNNNNNNNNNNNNNNNNNNNNNNNNNNNNNNNNNNNNNNNNNNNNNNNNNNNNNNNNNNNNNNNNNNNNNNNNNNNNNNNNNNNNNNNNNNNNNNNNNNNNNNNNNNNNNNNNNNNNNNNNNNNNNNNNNNNNNNNNNNNNNNNNNNNNNNNNNNNNNNNNNNNNNNNNNNNNNNNNNNNNNNNNNNNNNNNNNNNNNNNNNNNNNNNNNNNNNNNNNNNNNNNNNNNNNNNNNNNNNNNNNNNNNNNNNNNNNNNNNNNNNNNNNNNNNNNNNNNNNNNNNNNNNNNNNNNNNNNNNNNNNNNNNNNNNNNNNNNNNNNNNNNNNNNNNNNNNNNNNNNNNNNNNNNNNNNNNNNNNNNNNNNNNNNNNNNNNNNNNNNNNNNNNNNNNNNNNNNNNNNNNNNNNNNNNNNNNNNNNNNNNNNNNNNNNNNNNNNNNNNNNNNNNNNNNNNNNNNNNNNNNNNNNNNNNNNNNNNNNNNNNNNNNNNNNNNNNNNNNNNNNNNNNNNNNNNNNNNNNNNNNNNNNNNNNNNNNNNNNNNNNNNNNNNNNNNNNNNNNNNNNNNNNNNNNNNNNNNNNNNNNNNNNNNNNNNNNNCGAGCACAUGAAUAAAAAAAAGUCCGAUUUUGUGCAUAUGAAUAGUACAAAAGGUAAAUAGUUAUGGUAAAAAGGUAAAAAAUCAUGGUAAAAAAGUGCCUGAAUGUUUAAUUUGGCCUGCAUAUAUCAUUACCCUAUAAAUGUGCACUCAUGAACCUAGCUUGAACACCAAGAUAUCAAUAGUAAGGAAUUAAAAUAUUUCAUGCAAACUAAUUAGAUAGAUUUUAUUUUAUUUUUCUAUUUUAAACAAUCCCAUAAGGAAUAAAAUAAAGUUUUAUCACAAUAAAAUCUUUAGCUUGAUCAAGAUAUCAAUAGUAAAUAAUUAUAAUAUUUCAUGAUAUCUACAAAGUACAACCUAAUUAGAUUAGAUAUGAAAAUAUUUUUUUCCUAAUAUAAACAGUUCUAGAAGGAACAAAAUAAAGUUCUACUAUAAUAAUAUUUUGACAAAUUUCUAGCCCAAUUUCGGUAAAAUACGAAAUACGAAACACGAAAAUUUUGUGUUUUGAAUUUUGGCCAAUUCAUACUAAAAAAUAAUCAAAAUUACGUUUGAAAUUGAAACGAUUAAUGCAUCCCAGAAUGUUUUCACACUUGGCUAUAUUUUUAGUGGAAAAUAUUUUUAACCACCCAUCCUUAUAAAAUUACCCUUAUCAUAUAAGUGGAUAUAUUACCAAAGAGAAACUUACCUUUAUUAUUUCCCUUAAUAUAUGAAGCAUUAUUAUAGUAAUAAUAUCACAUCAAACGUUCACGUUUGAUGGGACAUGUCACAUCAAAUUUACUUGACUUAUUUUUUAAUUUCUUUUUUCGAAUUUGUUCCAUUUAUCAUAAUUGGAGAUAUUACCAAAUAAAGCACACAUUUAUUAUUUCCGCAUAAUAUAUGAAUCAAUUUAUAGUAUAUAUCACAUCAAACUUACUUGACUUAAUAUUAUUUCUAUUCCACAUAUGUGAACCAUUAUUUAAUUUAUAUCACAUCUAACUACCUAAGUUAAUUUUGAACUAAACUACGGUCACCCUCAAAGUAGGGUGAAAUUACGAAAAAAACCCUCGUGUUUGAGUAAUACAAUAACCAUCUCAAUUACUAUUUUUCUUAAACAUCCAUUCUCAUGACGUCAAAUUCAACAUAAUCUUCUAGAUUUUGUGGAUUGUUCUUUAGUUUGUGCUCGUUUUGUGCAAAAAUAUAGUUUCUGGUGCACCACAAUCUGAUAUUUUCCAAAUGUGUAAUACAUCUAUAAACUGAAAUAAUAUUUCUCAGAAUCUUCAAAAUUCCACUAAAUUUAACACUGCAACAAUGAAUAUGUAAGAAAUUUCAUACUUGAAGACAGUAAUAGUAAUUACCAAAACAUGAAGGGAUAUUUCGGUAAUUUAAUAUUAAUUGAGUGGCCGUAAUUUACUCUUAAUUGUAUUACCAAAUAAAUUGUUUUAUUAUGUUGCGGACCAACAGUAAAUAACGGGCCUCUAUUGUAAAAUCGAAUAAAACAUUGGCCUCGACUAGUAAUAUAUUCGACUAGUAAUAUAUAUCAAGGCCCAUCAAACUUAUCAAAAAAGACAAAAAAUAAAAGUAUGAAGAAGUACAUUCGCAAUAAAUUAUGAGGUUAAAAAACUAGAGAAACAUUUAAAAAGCUAUUCACUCAAUCUCUGGUAAAAAAAAAUGUUUUUAAACCCUAAAAUGCAUGAUGAUGAAGAUGAUGAAGAAAUUCAAAUGAAACCGAACAGGCUGUAAAUUACUGGGAAGCAUCUUUUAACUACAGGUGCUCCGAUUUUCCCUCUCUAUCUUCAUCGUUAAAAUUUUGUAUUGUUCAUAAUAAUCAGUAGAACAAAAAUAAAACUGUUUGUGGUUGCAGUACAAGUAAUAUUUAUGUAGGAUGAGGUUUUUUCGAAAAUAUUAGUCCCCGGAAUAUUCCUUUUUGUGGCGGUUUUGGAUGGUGGAGUUAGUGGGUCUACAAUGGCGAGUGGUAUUCUUUAGUGGGGUUUUUUUAUAAUUUUUUUGUUGUUGUUUUCCCCUUAUUUCUAUCUCUGACUUAAUAUUUAUCUACACAGUACUUACAAAUUUUUGUGUUGGUGUUGUGUGUGUGUGUGUGUCUGUGUGUGUGUGUGUUUUGGGGAUUUAGGGAUUUUUUCAUGUAUGUCAAUUUUUUAGGAGAAAAAACUAACUAUUGUCGAAAAUUUGAUAUCUAAGGUGUAAGGCAACGAUAGGGAAAUCAUCAUCAUUCGGAAAAUAUGUCGAUAAGUAGUCAAAUUAUGCGAAAUUCGAAAUCCGACAAAUAUAAGGAGAACUUGUCGAGUUUUUCUGGUUCAAAGCAACGUGUGAGGAAACUUAGUUUGUCUGAGUUGAACGGCAAUCAAGACAAGAAAAGGAAUAAACGCAACUCGAUUUCGCCGAGAAAGGAAUCCGAGGGAGUUGCUACGAAGGAAAAGAAAAUGACCGGUCGUCUUUUCAAGUCUCGUUUGGAGAAAGUGUGCGUUAAACGAAAAGUACCAGGUACAUUCUUCUCUAUAUUGAGUAGAUAAUAGAUAUUUUCAAAAAUUCGUUACCAUUGAAAUAAUUGCCGUUCUUUUUCUAGAUAUUGACGCUGAGCUGGAAGGAUUGGAUAAACUGUCGCACGCUUGCGUUGGUAAUGUUGAUUCGCCCGAUAAAGUUGCGAAGGUGAGGGUAAUGAAUAAUUCUGUUUUAUUUAUUUGUUUAUGUAUUUUUUGAAUAUUUCGGAAGUUAAAUGAAGUUACUGAGGAGUUAUUUUUUAAUGUCAUUUCAAAAGCAAAGUUGGAUAGCGGUAGCCGUAGUACAAAGAAACGCAUGAGGGUUCUGUCCUUGAAUGGAUUGCCUUGUAAAUCAGAUACCGAGAAUGCUGACGUGGCAAAGAAACGUAAAAUGGCAGUGAUCGAAAAUGUGGAGCCAGCCUCGGUUGUUGACUCAGAGAGAGGUAAUUGAUUUUAUUUAUGUAAAAAAUAUUUAAGUUGUUUUCGAGCAGUAAUAUUACGUACAUGUGCAAAAAAUGUGUUUCUAAAAUUAUGUUGUGAUACAGAUCACAAAAACGAAGAAGAAAUUGUCAAAGAUGCAUUUAUAGUUAAUGAACCGAGUUUGCUGUUGUCAUCUGUUAAGAUGAAAAUCAAAGAAAAUUCGACUAAUAAAGAACGAAACGAAGGGCAGGUCGCUUUACAGAAGAAACAAGCGGCGAAGGAUAAAAUUUACGAGAAUGGAAAAGAUAAAAAAAUUUAUAAAAUCCAGAAAAAAUGCAAAAAGCGAAUGAAGAAACUAAUGCGUAAACAAUACGAGGAAAUUCAGGAGUUUAAUCGAGUUUGGGAGGAUAAGAAAUCGAAACUGGAGAUAGAUCACAAAUUGGAAUCGGCUGUUAUUCGGUCUAUAUUCAGUGAAGGCAUGGCAAGAUCGGGCAAACUGAAGGUGUUGGACGAUAAAUUCGCAAAGAAAAUGGAAGAGAACAAUCUAUUGAAAGAAGCAGGGCUUAAAAAUCUCGAGGCGGAGCAAUUAUCCGCUGUGUAUGCGGAGAAACAAAAGGCCUCUCAUUGGCUGGAUCAAGUGACCGCAUUCUCCUCUAGCGAACUAAGGGCCAUUGAUCGAGCGCCAGCUGGAACAAGUAAAACCGUUUGUAGAGAAGUUUCGGAUUAUGUUAAUCCUUUGGAGUUGAGUAAUGCUUCUGAUGGAAGGUACGAUGAAGAUGACACAAUUGGUUUAUGUUUUGAUGGACAAAUAGUGGAAUCUUCGGAGCAAACAAAAGAUUCCCCAGACGUGCGAAAUGAGGCGGACAAAGAUUCCUCGGGGGUGGUCGGAACUGUUUGUGAUGAAAUUGUUGACUUUGUUGACCCUUUGGAAUUGAAUGAUGCUUCGAAUAAAGAGCGUGAUAAAGUCGAAACUAUUUGUGAUGAAAUUGUUGACUGUGUUGACCCUUUGGAAUUGAAUGAUGCUUCGAACAAAGGGUUCGACGAAGGAGAUACGAUUGAUUCGGCUGAUGUUUUACCUUUGGAGCAAACUGAAGAUGAACCGCAAGACCAAGGGGCAAAUGUGGCAGAACAGGAAAAUGGUCUGCAGUACAACACUGCAUCUUCGACGCACAUGGACACUUGUACAAUUUUGCUGUCUGAAACCGAACUGGAAAACCGAGAUGCUCAUGAUCUAGAAAGUCAAACUACUUCACAUAACGAAGUUGCACCCCUUGACUUAAUCGACACUGUAACAACCCCUGAGGACCGAGAUGCACCAGUUUUAGAAGAAGAUCAAGCCACUCUGCGGGACGAAAUUACAAAUCCGCCACUAGUCGACACUGAGGGUGCAGUGAAUGAACUACAAGACCUAGGAGCAAAUGUGGUAGAAAAGCAAAAUGAUCUGCAGUACGAAGUUGCUACUUCAGAAACCAUCGACACUUCUACAGUUAUGCAGUCCAAUACCGAACUUCAAGAAAGAGAUGCUCCAGCGGCAGAAAGUCAAAGUACUUCACAGAUUGAAGCUGCACCGUUGGAUCUCAUCAACACUGUAAAUCCUGAGCCGUCCAUCAUUCUAGAUGAAGAUCAAGAAACUCUCCAUAAUGAAGCUACAAAUUCGACACUAGUCGAACCUGUAAUACGUCUGCAGUUCAAUGUUGUUGCGCAAGUGAAUGAAGUGGUCCCACACGAAUCUGCUUCUCGGCCAAUAGAAAAGGUUGAAAUUCGGACCGAUCAUGAUGAAGCAGGAUCUUUAAGUACAGUGUCACACGAAGCCAGUAUUGAACCGCACACCCCUCAUUGUUUUCUAUUGGAAUGUACAGUAACAGAAAGUCAAAGUACUUCGCAGAUUGAAUCUGCACCGUUGGAUCAAAUUGUAGAAGAUCAAGAAACUCUGCACAAUGAAGCUGCAAAUUUGGCACUAGUCGAAACCGUGAUCCCUUUGCCGUCAAAUGUUGAUGCACAAAUGGUCUUACACGAAUCAGCUUCUCGACCAAUAGAAUGCUUUGAAAAUCCGGCCCAUCACUUUGAAGAAGGAUCUUUAAGUACAGUUUCACACGAAGCAAGUAUCGAGGCGCCUCCCUCUUUGCACGAAAAUAUAGCUACAUCCACAUUUGACAUUCUAAAUCGAGAAUUCGGAAUAGAUGUGAGUCAUCUUUACAGAUCGAACUUCCUUUUUGAUCAUCCUGGUCAGGAAAUCGCUUCUUUGAAUUCUUCAUCCCUAAUUCCGAACUCACUCGAUAAUGAAUUGGAAAAGAUUCGUAAAGAAAACGAACAGUUGGAAAAUAGCCACAAAGAGAUGGUUAGUAAAUUAAUUUUAUUCUUGUAAUAUGUAGUUUCUAUUGUCUACCUUUUUUUUUUAUUUUGUCUUGUUUUUUACAGAUAUUUUUCUCUUGAAACAGACGUUGCAGAUGAAAUCUGACUGUCAGAACGAGAUAAAAGAAACUAUUGCGCAAAUACUUAAAAAAUACGAGGUGAAGCAUCAAAAUUCUGUAUCAGAAUUUAGGUCGAAAAAGAACGAACUCGAGAAGAAUCACAAAAUGGUUCUCAUGAACAAGAGAUUGGCCGAAGCUUUCCGUACUAAUUGCUUGGAUUUCUCGUGUUUUGACCACCGAGGGAUAAUUCAUCAAGGUAAAUUUUAUUACCAGCAAUUUUUUUUUUUUCCGGUUAUAUUCUUCGUAAAAAAUAUCUCAACCCUAUGCUUUCUUGCAAAUUUGAUUGCAGGUGUUCCAUACAGUUACAUGCAGUACCAUCAAGUUAGUCCUCCCACCGGAGUUUCUCCUAACAUGCAGAUUCAAAGUCAAACUGUACAACCGAUGCAACAUUCGUCACCGCCACAUUCUAGCGUGCAGAUUCAAGGUCAAACUGUACAACAGAUGCAGCAUUCGUCACUGCCACAUUCUAGCGUGCAGCUUCCUAGUCAAACUGUACAACCGAUGCAGCAUUCGUCACCGACACAUUCUAGCAUGCAGCUUCCUAGUCAAACUGUACAACCGAUGCAGCAUUCGUCACCGCGACAUUCUAGCAUGCAGAUUCAAGGUCAAACUGUACAACCGAUGCAGCAUUCGUCACUACCACGUUCUACCAUGCAGAUUCCUAGUCAAAAUGUACAACCGAUGCAGCAUUCGUCACCGCCACAUUUUAGCAUGCAAAUUCCAAGUCAAACUGUACAACCGAUGCAGCAUUCGUCACUGCCACAUUCUAGCAUGCAGCUUCCUAGUCAAACUGUACAACCGAUGCAGCAUUCGUCACAACGACAUUCUAGCAUGCAGAUUCCAAGUCAAACUGUACAACCGGUGCAGCAUUCGUCACUGCCACGUUCUAGCAUGCAGAUUCCAAGUCAAACUUUAGAACUGAUGCAGCAUUCGUCGAUGCAGCAUUCGUCACUGCAACAUUCUAGCAUGCAAAGUCAAAUUGUAAAACCAAUGCAGCAUUCGUCACUGCCACAUUCUACUCAGAAUAUUGCACCUCAUCAUCAGUUCACUUUUCGAUCUGCUGUGGCGGCGGCGGCCCCACCACAGGUUCCUCUUCCCACUUUGCCGGAUCGAACCUUGAAUUACCCUCCGCAACAGCACCUACCUACACCACACGCACCCUCGACCUCUCGGUAUAUGGCUCCACAUCUGCGUGUGCCACACCCUCAGUGGAAUCAAUUUGUAGCGGCGCCAGAUCAGCGUACACGUGUAGCAGGUAAUCGUUUCUUCUCGUGUAUGGGUAAUGUACAGGGUAAUCGAGCAGUAGAUGCUGUUUGCUUAUCUGACGAUGACUAAUUUAAUUAACGAAUCUUUUAGGAUUACACUGAUAAUUUUUUGUGAUGCUUACUGUGAAUGAGAAAAAAGAUUAGAGAUAGAUCUCAGUGUUCUUAGAUGCAAAUAUAAUUUUAUGGCAUUAUUUUGUUUAUUCAUUCAAUAAUUUCAUUUUGCUUUAAAAUCGGAAUGUGUAAUUUUUUUGAAAUAUUUAGUUAUUGAAUUAUAUUAAAUACUUCAUCACUUUGUUUUAUUCUCACUGCUGAGCAUUAAAACAAGUUUAUAAGUGGAGAUGUGAAUUCUCAAUAAUUUUAAGCGUAAAUUACACUUAUACCCCUGAGGUAUGUUAAAAUAACUUUAUGGUCCCUGUGAUAUCGGUAAUUACAAUAAAGUUACCUUAGGGUUUUGACGGACUAAUGGUCCGAUCCAUCUUGGUGCUCGUCGUUCACUGGGCCUGGGCCUCGUGAGCUUAAUUUCCAUCAUUUGUUUGGGCCUUAGCCCAAUAACUCUUGGUAUAGGGAGUUCGGCCCAAUAAUGCCGAACUGAUCCCCAUCAUACGCCAUACUCGACGAACUUUAUUCGGUAUAAAGUAUAUAAAUUUGGGGUGAAAGAUUGUAAGUUUUAUUUAAUCAUGGUAGUGUGUACAUGACCAAAUUCAUAGUUCCACAUGCCGAUUUAAAUGUAAAUUCAUCCCCUAUAGAACGAGCCACAAAAGUUAGGUCAAAUUCAUAUUUCCACAUUUAAUUACAAAUAAAAUACACGUCUUAAAAUAAUUUUUAACCAAUUUAGUAAAAAAUUGAAUAGUUGGAUAUUGUCUUGUUAUCUAAUUAAUGGUUGGUCAACACCUAAAUUGGUUGUCUUUAGACUAGUCUAUAGCUCAAGCAAUAACUAAGCAUAGUAAAUGAUACGAAGUUGGACUAAGUUCCAUUAAUUAAUCGAGAUGCUACAUCGGGUGAUUUUUAACUAUUGAUGCAACGAAAUGACUUUUCAAUAAACACACAUACACAUGGAUGUGUGCGUAAUUAUGUGCAAAUCAACGGUUAAUAAUCACCCGAUAUAGCAUAAACCCAAUUACAAGAUUUUGCUUUAAAGUGUCAAUUUGACCCUCCUCUUUAUCAAUAUUUUUGUUUUGGGAACCAAAAUUUAAUAAAAAUAAAUGGAAUUUUGACUUUUUGGGAUUAAAAUAAAAAUAAAAAGAAACACACCAAUCAUUUUGGCCACUUUGUUUGCCAGGCUGUUGGAGCUUUGAUGAAAGCUUCAACUGCAAAUAAUAUAUAUAUAUUCAUUUCAUUUGCCCUUUCCAUUUCUCACAUUCCAAGAAAUUGAAUUUUUCCCACCUAAGUCACAUUCAAUAUUUAACACACCCACUAGUGUGUGUAUUGUGUGUGUGUGUGUAAUAUAACUUAGAAAUGUCAAAUUUUUUUUUUUUUAAAUGUCAAUUUAUGAAGAUGUCAAAUAUAAGAAACGUUUGCAAAAUUUGUCUAUGUUGCCGUUUCUUGACAUUAAUCAGAAAUGUAUCUUUAAUUCUUUAUUGCAUCAAUUAAUUGAUAACGGCAAACUUUGGUGGAUGACUUAUUCUUGCAAAAUAAUUAAUUAUUAAUACAAAAUUGGUAAGAUAUUGCUAUUUAUAGGAUGAAAUUAUUUUUAUCAUUAUAUGUUUUUAUAACAAAGGAAGCUGCAAUCAAAUAUAUAAUAUCUUGAAAACCAGACGAGUGAUAUAAAUUACAUUAGACUAUUCAUAUGUAACAAACUCGACCUAACAACCAUUAGCAAAAAAUUCGAAUUUUGAUAAGUUGAGUAAGAAUUAUUUAUGACAUAGAAGCAGGUGGGUCACUACUAAUAUUAUUAUAUUAGGUUAAUAUAUGGUCAAAGAUUUUUCCUUUUUUAUUUCUUUAUUUCUUUAUUUCUUUAUUUUUCUUUUUUUGCAAGUUUAUAGAUAAUUUUCCUUUUUUCUUACUCUAGCUGCAAAAUUUGCAAAUGUCCUAUUUAAAGUUAUAGUUUGACCAAGAAUUUCUCAAGUAUGGCUGAAAAUGAGGCUGAAGUUCUAGUUAGGAUGUUAUACAAUGUCCAAUUACAUAAAUACCCUUUGCCUUUAUUUACCAAAAUAUUAUCUAAAUAUGUAAUUACAAGUAGCUUGUAGAUAUUCAAAUAAAUUUUAUUUUUAUAAAAAAUAAGUUACAUGCUAUUUAUCGAAUAUAAUUCUUAGUUAUGAAUUGCUUGAAAAUAAAUAAAUAUAUGUAAAUCUACAUGCGCAUGGAACACUACACAAUGACACAAUGUUAUUUCCUUUUCUAAUAAAAAAAUAUUUAAAAUUCUAAUAUAUCAUAAACGUGACAAUAUUUUAAAGCAGCUUGUAGUAUUUAUUGGUGAAUAAUAAUUAUUUUUUUUUCUUUCCUAAUACAUGACACCUUCAUGAAAUACCCGUGACCGUGCCAUUUUAGAUUACUAUUUUAGGACAUUUUUUAUUUUAUUUAUCAAGUGUCACGUAAAAUUAAUGUUAUUCACGAUUAAAAAUAAUAAUAAUGAGCUAUGUAUGUAAAAAUAAAUAAUGAAAAUCCAUUAAAUUAAUAAGUCAAAUAUUUAUGCUUUCAAUUCAUUAUCUUAGCCGCAAUGUCGUGGAAGGAUAAGCCAAAUCUUAAAAAAGUCAACAAAUUGUUUCCUCCAAACAAAUAAAUUCCAAAAAUUGGUUAAAUUAAUAAUUUUAUUUUUUAUUUUUUAUUUUUUAUAUGAAGAAAAAUAUUGAUUUGACCAUGGAAAUGGAUUUUAUUUAUUUUUAAAUAUAGAAGAAAUCCGCAGCUUAAUUGUACUAAUGUACCCAUCUUUGAUUUGAGCAUUUCAACUAUUUAAAUAAAAUAAAACAAUAAUAAUUAAUAAAUAAAACAAUGACAAAAAGAAGUAGAUUGAUAUUGAUUUGAGAACUGCAACAAACCAACAAAUAAAAAACAACCCUAUCGUGAUAGUAACUCGAGAUCAAAGGGUAAAAAUGGAAUUUGAUUUAAUUUAUUUUUUCUUUGAAAAAAAUCUUUAAAUGAACAUUAUAAUAUGGUUUUACGAUUUAAUCCACACACUUAAAGUAAUUCGAAAAACCCCCCAUUUCUUAUUAGUUUUAUGUUAUCAAUGACAAGAAGAAAUAACUUAUUGACUUCAAAGUUUCAUAAAUUAUAGUCAAACUUCUAUAAACUAAUACAACCGAAACUAACAAAAUUCCAGCAAAAUAUCAAAAUUAUCGAAAUAAUAAUUCAAUACAUUUUUUCCGAAUAGGAACCAAAAGAAAUUAUUAAAAUUUAUCGAGAUACUACUGUAAUUCAAGUAAGAACUAUAUAAUUAAAGUAUAAAUAAUUAAACAAAUAAUAAAAUAGAAUUACGAAAAAGCCCAAAAUCAGAAGUUCAAACCUCCACAAAGGUCAAAAUUCCUCCAAUCCCAACAAAUUGUUUAUGUACCACUAGGAACAUCCUUUCACUUUCAACCCCUCACCCCCCAUCUCACCCACCCCACCCCCCACCCAUAAAUAGAUACAGUUAUACACACACACACACACACACACAAUUACUGAAUUACAUAUAAUAAUAAAUAAUUAAAUAUAUAUAAAUAUGGUUUGUAGAAACGUAAAGCCAUUGGUUACCGUGUUCAAAGAGAACCCCACAAACCCAAAAAUCGGAUAUUUAAAUUAAAAAAAAAAAAGGUUAAGAAACCAAAUCAAAACAAAUUACUAUACUUACAAUUUCUCUCUCAGCUCGAAGAACAAGCUCACAUGGAGAUCUGUUCUGUGUGUAUAGUGUCUCGCAUUUCACCAUUUCUGUAAUUCCCCGAAGAAAAAAUUAAAUCCAAUUAAUACGUGCAUGAAUAUAUCUGCAUCUGUAUUUCCCGAUUUCUGUAUCUAUAUGUGUAAGUAUAGCGGCUGAAAUUUUGGGGAAAAAAAAUGGGGGGAAGCAAAUGGUUGAAAGCGAAGAUGGCUCUAGGUUUGAGGCUGAACUCGUGUCUCUACGUGCCGAGAACAGUCGAGGAUUCUCCGCCUCCUGCCGCCGCCGCCGCCGCCUCGUUGUCUCCGACGCCGCCGCGAGAUUCGGAUCGUCGGGUGAAAAUGCCGACAACGCCAACGCCGUCUUCCUCCGGACUCCUUCCGCCUAAACACUCCUUCAAAUCUAGCAAGGUCAAAAUUGGAAAUAUUUAUGUUUUUUAUUUACGAAAUUGAAUUUUUACAGUGAUGCUUUUUUCUACAUGCACGGAUAUUUUAAUCUCGAUAGAGUUCCUGAUUAGGUUUUCAGAAAAUUAAAAUUAAAAAUUAAACUGCUCUUUUGACUAAUUUUGUGGCUAAUUACUUCUACAAUUAGCUUUUCCUUUCUUCUCUGAAAAUGUGAAUCUCGAUGUUAACCUGUAGUAUAUUCUCUAGGGCAUCAGAGUUCUCCCUUUAUCAAUUGUGAUUCUCACCUUAAGCAUUAGUUUAUGAUAAUUAUAUUCUUAACAACAAUUUUCCCCCCUUUUUAGCCUGUGGUCAAUAACUUUAUUUUUUUUCCUGUUCAAAAAAUGAUUGUACUCUGAGUCUUUGAUGGGGGAAUUCUGUAUUUCAGUUACACACUUUUACACACAUGUAGAUGUGUGUUACUGUGUGUAGAUUUGUGUAAAACUACUUAGUGAUGAUGAUGGUGAUAAAUUGAUAAUGGAGCUAACAAAUUUUAGAUAAAUAUAUGCAUAUGAAAACUGUCAGGAGAUGGGGCUAUAUUGUUAUGUAGUUUUCAGUUACUGUGUGGGUGAUGUGGGGAUAAAGUGUGGGGUGUGGAUUCUCUUUUGAAAGAGUAUAGUCAUCUGGCCUUAUUAUAUAAAAAGCUCAAAAAGGUAAACAACAGUGAAAUCUUUCUUUGUCUCCUGCCCCAUUUUCUCAGAGGGAGAAAAAGAGAGUGCUUUUCUUGGUCAGCAACUUAACUGUUACACACAUUCUUCAUUUUGCCCUAUUUCUCUCUCUAACCCCUUUUAAUGAUUUCUUGACCAUUGUUUGAGAGCUUUCAUGCAAUAUAAUUUUUUCAUCAAAGUGAAUGACAAUCGUUUAGUGACUAAUGAUUUCUACUUCUUUUGAUACAUUUUGCACUUUUGAAUCAUUUCUUUCGGGUUUUUUAAUGCCUCGAAAGCUUCAUUAUUGGUUUUGAGACCCUGCUUAUUGCCCUUUACAAUGUUUAAAGUUAAUGAAUUGGGGUUUUCUUUAAGCCUACUUUACGGCUAUAUGCUGUAUUGCUUUGUUUUGUUUGACCACCCCCAUCAAUACCGAGUCUUCUUUAACAGUCUAUCUUGGUAUAACCUUAUUCUGGUUUGGAUCUUGAAUUUCCGAGAAUCUGUUGUAGGUAUUAAUCUACUAUGACAGCUAGAGUAUCUGUAUUAUGUACUGAUUGACCGAUGUAAAUAUUGUCGCAUGGAGAGGAGGGGGUAGUGUUUAUCUAUAUUGGAUAGCAAGCUUACCAAUUCAAUGGUGCAGCCAAGAAUAUGUAAUAUCUGAAAUAAGAACUUUAUACAUGAAAUCUUUUUCUUUGGUCCAUUUCCAAACUAAAGCUAAUUUGCACGUAGUAAUUCCCGUCAUAAUAACUUGACAUCGUAAUAAUUUGCUGUGAGUUGAAAAUGUAAAGGCACUGAGUCCACCUGAGUUGGCAAUUGACUUGGAAGUUGGAAAGCAAUACAUUUGUAGGCAGAGGAGCUUAAAGUCAACCUGGAAAUAUAGCUAUAUAUUAAUAAUACUUGUAGUACACGUCACCACCUCAGUAUUUUUCUAUAUUCUGGACAUAACUUGCAUACUAGAAAUAUUUCACAAUAUCGAGCUUUUUCGUAGUUGUUGACUAAGUUGAACGAAGGACAAGCUUUUUUUUUAUAUUUAUCCUUUAUAUAUCAUUCGAAUUUCAUCUUCAUUUUUUUCUGCAGAAGAUUUGUGCAAUAUGCUUGGAGACUAUGAAACCCGGCCAAGGCCACGCAAUUUUCACCGCAGAAUGUUCUCACUCAUUCCAUUUCCACUGCAUUGCAUCCAAUGUAGAACACGGAAAGCAAACUUGCCCCGUUUGUAGAGCAAACUGGAAAGAAAUCCCCGUCCAAAAUCCCGUCGCUAAUAAAUCCUACACAAGGCCCUUGCCCCAAAAUGAUAUCAUGAGAAGAAUCCCUUCUCCACAAAUACACGUCAAUCGACAAGUCGCUCCCCUUUUUCACUCUCCACAAGAACCUAUUCUCUUCAACGAUGAUGAUGAAGUUGUUAAUAACCAAUCCACCACCGCCCCAAAUAGCAACAAAAUCCACGACGACCAUUUCACUGGAGCAGUCAAAGUUCAAACGUUUCCGGAAGUUUCUGCAGUUCCGAAAUCGGAACCCCACAACAACUUCUCGAUUCUCGUUCAUUUAAAAGCUCCAACAACCACUGCACUACAACAGCAUUCUCCUCAAACUUCUCGUGCUCCAGUUGAUUUAGUGACGGUUCUUGAUGUGAGUGGCAGCAUGGCCGGUACAAAGCUAGCUCUGCUCAAACGAGCAAUGGGGUUCGUAAUCCAAAACUUAGGUCCUUCCGACAGGCUGUCGGUGAUUGCCUUCUCCUCCACCGCACGUCGCUUAUUUCCUCUUCGUAAAAUGACCGAUUCCGGAAGAAACGAAGCUAUCCAGGCCGUUAAUUCUCUGAGCUCAAACGGGGGUACAAAUAUAGCCGAGGGACUCAAAAAGGGGGCUAAGGUAUUGAUAGAAUGCAAGUGGAAGAAUCCGAUUAGGAGCAUUAUACUCUUAUCCGAUGGACAAGAUACAUACGCCAAUAGAAGCUCCUCCGAUCAUCAGUCGUUGCUUCCGGAAAGUGUUUCUGGUCUUCAUAUACCUGUCCAUGCAUUUGGGUUCGGUGUGGAUCACGAUGCGGUUUUGAUGCAUUCGAUUUCGGAAAAUUCCGGCGGGACUUUUUCUUUCAUAGAAGCCGAGAAUGUGAUUCAAGACGCUUUUGCUCAGUGUAUCGGCGGAAUCUUGAGUGUUGUUGUGCAGGAACUGAAAGUGGAAAUCGAGUGCAUUGAUAGUUUGUUGAAACUCGUUUCAGUAAAAUCGGGAAGCUACAAAACUGUUGUGGAAUCCGAUAAAAGAAAGGGCAGUAUUGAAGUUGGGGAUCUUUACGCUGAGGAAGAACGAGAUUUUUUAGUGACGACCGAUAUCCCGAUUUGCGAAUUUACCGAAGAAAUGUUGUUGCUAAAAGUGAGGUGCGUCUACAAGCAUCCGAUGAAUUCAGCGACGAAUAAUUGCGAAAGCGUCGUCGGAAUUCAAAGGCCGUUGGUGACGGGGCCCGUGGUGGUGUCGAUGGAAGUGGACAGGCAGAGGAAUAGGCUACGAUCCGCUGAGGCGAUGGAGCAGGCUAAGACAGCUGCGGAGCGGGGAGACUUGACUUUCGCGGUUUCCGUAUUGGAAAACUGUCGCAGAAAUUUGUCGGAGACUGUGUCUGCUCGAGCGGGUGACAGAUUAUGUGCUGCUUUGGAUGCGGAAUUAAGGGAAAUGCAGGAGCGAAUGGCGAGCCGACAAGUGUACGAGACUUCGGGGAGGGCUUACGUACUGUCUGGGCUAAGCUCGCAUUGUUGGCAGAGGGCAACUGCCAGAGGGGACUCGACCGAUAGUACGAGCCUUGUCCAUGCUUAUCAGACACAGUCAAUGGUUGAUAUGGUGCAUUUGUCUCAGACUAUGCCUUUGGGCAUCCCGCCUUCAGCCAGUGGGCCCGCAGUUAGGCCCGUAAGGGCACGGUCCUUCAAUGCAAGGCCACAGCCGAGGUGAUUUUUAUUUUUUAAUUGUUACUUUGAUGCUCGAUUUGAAGUUGUAAUUCAUUCUUAGAUUCUUGAUUUUUGGUCAAAUUUUGGGGUGGGGUUGGAAUAAAGGUUAGGGGAAAAAGGAGAAGGGGGUUGUGAGUGAGUUUAAAAAUGAAGGGGGGUUUUGGUAUUUGGUAUAUGCAGUUCAAAUGUACAUGAAUGGGAGUUAGGGCAAUUGGUGAAAAUUGUUUUGGGAAUCAUCAAGAUUCUUUUUUUUUUUUUUAAUUGUACAUGAAGAGAGAAUGAUCAAGAUUUUGUGCUAUUUUUUAUAUUUCUUGGAGCAAUGUCUCUGUUUGAUUUUGCAUUAGGAUGGAUUUUGCAGUAAAAUAAAAUUAAAUAGAUUGGAUCGAAAUUAGCUUUUGUAAAAUGCAUAUAGAUACUUGACAAAUUCUCUACGUAGCCCGGAAACUUCAAAUUGUUAAGUACUCGCGUUUCGGACACAUUUCGUGCCCAAUACCUGAGGACACCGCCGGAUACCUUAUGCGUCAUUUUGCAAUUUUUGAAAAGUUAGAAACAUAUCUGAAUAAUAAAAUUCCAAAUAUUUUUAUUGCCUUUCUUCAUAACAAUUAUUUAUAUGAUUUAAUGAUCUAUUGCAAAUUAAUAGUUGAUAAUAAUAUUCGUAUUUGUAUGAAACUAUAUAAUUAAUAUAUAUAUAUAUAUAUAUAUAUAUAUAUAUAUAUAUAUAUAUAUAUAUAUAUAUAUAUAUGUUUAAAUAGUAUAUUUGUAAAUAUACCCUUAUAUUUUUAAUAUUUAUAUAUUUCUCCCAAGAUCCGUAUUCUGUAUUUUCGUUUUCAUGCUACACUGCAAACAAUUGAUACUCGAAUCUGGUCAAACUAAGUUAGUGAGAAUAAAAUAAAGAAGAGAGGAAUAAGGGCUAGCUUUUUAUAUAUGAGCACGUAUCUGUUUGUUGGUAAUGGGAUGUAUAGAUAUAUAAUUAAAUAUUCUAUAGAUCCAAAAUAAGCUCCAAUAUAAUAAAUAAAUGAUCUAAUAAGUAAUAACUUUUCAGUUAAUUAAAUCAUCUCAUUUAAUUUGUGAAGCUGUCUUAUUUUUUGCACACAGUUGUAACAGUUCUCCGACCUGCUGCCAACCCAAGAAGAUAAAUAAAAAUGCAAAAAAAAGACUAAGAAAAUAAAUUAAUCAAAAUUUAAAAGGGUUAAUUGCGGAGACCCCGCUAGAGUAAUAUAAAAUUACGAAAAAACCAUUUUUAUUUGGAUAAUUACAAUCAACCCUUUCAACUAUGAAUCUUCUUACACGUUUACAUAUUGUGGUGUCAAAAUUUCUAUCUUGUACCCAUUUUAUCCCACUCGAGCUUAAUAUUUUGAAAUGAGAUGAUUAUAAGAUGUGUGAUUUGCCUUGUAAAUAUCAUAUUGUAGUGCAUCAGAAAAAUACAUUCUUGCACAAAACGAAUACAAACUAGAUAACAUUCCACGAAAUAUAAAAGCUGAAUUUGACACCACAAGGGUGGACGUGUAAGAUGAUUCAUAGUUAAGGGGUGUGGUUGUCAUUAUCCAAACAAGAGGGGUUUUUUUCAUAAUUUUACGUUAUCUCAGGGGUCUCCGUAAUUUACUAAAUUUAAAAUUUAAAAGGAGAAGGAAAAAAAAAGAAAAAAAAAAGGAAGAAGAAAAGCAAAAAAUUCAAAAAUAGAUAAAUCAAAAAAUAAGAAACAUUAAAAGCGAGAAAUUAAAGAGGAGCCAAGGUAGGAACAGCUUUGGGUCCUUGGACCACACUUUUUGACCCUACCGAAGACGAAUUCAUCCAACCAUAUAACGCCACGUGUCUAUACCUCCGCGCCGGUGCAAUGCACCGUUCCUAGUGAUCACUGAAAACGACCGUUGGAUUGUACUUCAGGUCAGGCAAGUACUCAUCGGACGGUUGCGGUGCACCCAUCUGAAGAUGCAAAAGCUGAGGAUCGAGAAAGCAGACAGUCCACGUGGCGGGAGCCCUCUUCAUCAUUCUGGUCUGUGCUUCUCCAUAGACAUCUGUGCUCCCUAAAAAAGCGUUACACUCUCUCUCUCUCUCUCUACAUAGCAGUAGAUAUAGGCACAUGCACACACUAAUACACACUGAUACACACACAUUUAUAUAUAGCGUUGCUACUGAUUCUUGGACCUCGAGCAUUGUGAAAGCGGAACAGAUGAUAUAUAUAUAAUAUAUCUAUAGCUGAUAAACACACUCACACACACACAUAUUCACACACUGAUACACACAAUGUGUGUGUUGUAUCUAUAGCUGAUGCUGUUUGUUCUUGCGGAGUGCACCUCUAAAUUUAUUUCUCGGUAUGUUUUAAGCUUUUCAUCUUAGCUCAAAGAUGGUGAUGUGGUAUUUAAUUUAUUUAUUAUUGCUUAAUUCGUAUUCAAUAAAUCUGAAUAUGAAAACCUAUAAUUUGAAAAAAAAGAUAAAAAUCGAAUCUUGGCAGUGUUUUCUACAGUUUUGGCAGAAAAUUAGAUGUGGGUUUAUCAGCAUCACCAUCAUUCUACAAAAUCUUUCAACUUUUUAGCUCCUUGGAGAAUUUAGGUUAACUCUUUUGACUUCUUGAUAAUCUUUUUUUAAUUUUCUUGAUUAUAAAAAAUUGAAAAUUGAAAAAAGAACGGUUUUUUAAUGUUGCCGACAGCAUAGAUCAAGUUAGUGGGGGCUGAUUCAAAUAGAAUACAAAACAUGUCGUUUUCUAACACAUCAUCAUCCUCCCAAAUAAAACAAAAACAAAAACAAAAUUCUAAAAAAAAUUGUCUACUGUGUUUGAAGACUGUUGAUAAUCUGUCUUGUAAGCAAAGUCUUUUGUAACCGUUGCCAUGUAUACAUACAUUAGGAGUUAGGACCAUUCUUCACAGAAAAUGAAUUCUUUUGCCCUUUUUUUUCAAUUUCUUAGACGUGAAUAAAUGAUUACUUUAUACAGAAACAGAGUAAUUUAUGUAGUGUAUUUUAAUGGGGGUUGUGUCCAGUUUGUUUGCUGAGGGGUACCUUUCACAAAGUUUGGUUGAUGGGUCACAUUUUUAUUUUUUAAUUUAAAAUAUCAAUUUCGGAAUCUUGAUUUAAUUGUAGAUAAAUCCCACAAGUCUUUUUCUUGUUAUAUCUUUGCAUUCAGAUGUCUAUUUGUGCCUUCCAUUCAAUCGUUCGUUGAGCUGUCUUUCCAUCUCUGGAUAAAAUCUUGCUACUGCUUUUCGGGUUCGCCUUUGCUUUCGGCCCCGAUUUUUUCGCGCUUGAAAAUCUGAAGUGCCGAAUGGUAAGAAUCACAUUUCCUUUUCAAUCAUUCAAUGUAGUAUCUAUUAGUCUGAAUCCCAUUUUCGCUAAUAUAUACUUUCGAGUUCAUUUAGAUUUUUUUGUCGGUGAAUGUUUUUGUAGUAGAUUUUAUAUCCCGUUUCUGCGAUAUUGUUGUGAUAAAUGCUCUAAUUUAUUGUAUGGUUAGACAUUAUUCAGCACAAAUCAGUUCAAUUUUGAGGCUUAGAAAGAUCAGCCGAUGGAUAUUUAUCGAGUACGAUUCCGAAGUUGUCGUUGAAAGUGUACCAAAUGCAAGUUUUUUUUUUUUAAUGGUAGUUUUUACGAGUCUCCGACAAAAUAUUCGUAAAAAGGACUAAUUCUUAGAUUUGUGAUUUUGCAGUUAUUUAUUUUUCAGUUCUGUCGUUGGUUCUCGAGUAAUGGGGCUUCGUCUGGAAAUUACACUUGUUUGCAUUAUUAACUUGGUCUGGAUUCAGCUCACUCUUUCUGGUUAGUAACGCAAACGUUAUCGAUGUCUAUUUGCUAAAACGUCGUUUUAAAAUUACGGUGUAGUCGAGAAUAUAAUUCGGCAGCAAAAUAACUCUGUUUUUUUUAUAAUUAUUUUCCAGAUGAACUUUCGGCAAAGCCUCAAGAAAAUAACUGGACAUGCACUUGCUCUAUCGCACGACACAGUAACUCGAAUUUUCUCCCAGCAAAUUGCUCGUCGUCUUGUGUUUGCAGCCUUGGUAUUUACACUUUCUCGAAUUUAUUUUUCUUGCUUCUGUAAUCCUUUCUCUCUCUCUCCUAAUAAAAAUAAAAUAAACUGAAUUAAAUCGGCAUCUAGGAGAAUCGAUUGAAAACAAAUGGACAUGCAUUUGCUCGGCCGGCGGAUUUCCUAAAUUGGUCGGCGAAUUAAACGGCGACAGCUGUUUUACAGCCUGCAAUUGCAAUGCCGGUAAUUCUUCCGAUUAUGUUAAUAAUAAUGAUGGUGCAAUUAUUUAAAUAAUUUUCAAAUUGAUAAAUAAUUUAUAAUUAUAGGGACUUUAUCCGAUUUAGAGACUUCGAAGAAGCGGAUUUCGAGCAAAGCUGUCGUAAUAGCACUCUUAGUGUGUGUAGUCCUCACAGCUCUCGCAUUUAUUGCUUCGAUUCUGUGGUUUAUUUAUCGAAAGGAUAAAAGUCCCGUUAAAUGGAUUUCUCCAUCGUCCGAUCGGCUAACGAGUUGUGGUAGUGGUACGAAUUUGAUGAGCCAAAGUGGAGCUUCUUCAGUCACAGUAUAUAAAGGUUACUUAUACACCUCCGAAAAUAAACCUUUUAUAGGUAAAUAAAAAGUAGUCGAUUGUUUUUUUUUUUUUUUUUUUUUUUUAAUUCAACGAAAACUCGGUUGAUUUUUAUUUUGUUUGGAAAAAAAAAAUAGGAUGCAUUCCGAAGGCGUCUUUCCUAUUUAAAAACAGAAGAGGAGGAACAAUAACCGGAACGAGUAUGAACUUUUCGUAUUCCGAAUUGGAAAUAGCGACGAACAAAUUUUCCGACGCUAAUUUGGUCGGAGUUGGAGGAAGCAGCCAUGUUUAUAGAGGUAGUCUUAAAGAUGGUCGAAUUGUCGCUGUUAAGAGAAUGAAAACUCAAGGUGGCCCCGACGAAGAACAUCUUUUUUUAACCGAGGUAACUAACUAAUAUUCGAUUAUAUUUUUGCUGCAAAAAAAAAUGUUUUUUUUUUUUAAAAUCGUCUUUUUCAGAUAGAAUUGAUAUCGAGGCUUCACCAUUGCCACGUGGUUCCUUUGAUUGGAUACUGUUUGGAGCACAAAGGAAAGCAUGCAGAGAGGCUAUUGGUUUUCGAGUAUAUUCCAAAUGGGAAUCUUAGGGAGUGUUUGGAUACAGAUUCUGCCGAAUGUUUGGAUUGGAGUACAAGAAUCGGAAUAGCGCUCGGAGCUGCACGAGGAUUGGAAUAUCUCCACGAGGCUGCCGCGCCUAGAAUAUUGCACCGUGAUGUCAAAUCCACUAAUAUUCUCUUAGACGACGACUUCAAAGCCAAGGUUAUGUAAUAAUAAUAUUAAAUGUGGAUGAAAAAUCCAAAACUAAAUUAAAUUAUGCGAAUAACUAAUUAUAAUGUGUGUUUAUUUGUGCAGAUUACUGAUCUUGGAAUGGCUAAACACUUACGUAGUGACGGGAUUUUGAGCGGCUCGAGUUCUCCUGCAAGAAUGCAAGGAACUUUCGGUUAUUUUGCCCCCGAAUACGCCAUUGUUGGACGAGCUUCUUUAAAAUCCGAUGUUUUUAGUUUCGGUGUUGUUCUUCUUGAAUUGAUCACAGGUCGAACACCCAUUUAUAAGGCACCGAAUAAAGCCGAAGAAAGUCUCGUAAUAUGGGUAUGGAAAGUUUUAAGGUUUUUCAUUUUAAAUUUUAAUUUUAUGGGAAAUCGAGGUAAACUUGAGGGACAAAAAAGUGAAAUUUGCCCUUCAUUUUAUAUAUAUGAUUUAUUGGUCAAUUUUUUUUUUAAUCUCAUUACAGGCGACGCCUCGUUUGAAAGAUAGUAAACGGGUGAUUCUUGAAUUGCCCGAUCCAAGAAUGAAAGGGAGUUUCGAAGAAGAAGAGAUGCAAGUAAUGGCAUACUUAGCAAAGGAGUGCCUUUUGUUGGAUCCCGAUUCUCGACCGAACAUGACCGAUGUUGUACAAAUUCUUUCGACUAUUGCACCGCGUAAAUCUAAAAGGAAGCAUUUGCCAUUGCGUUCGUAUCAGUGUUCAUCGGGUGGUGGAAUGAGAAGCGAUAAUCCAGAGCCGUCGGAUGAGGAAAUUUACAACACAUCAUCAUCGUCGACGGAGGAGAUCAAGCAAAUUACGUCCGAAAUGCCAGCUCGAGGCUCUUUGCAAAGGAAUUCUGUGAGCAGCAAUAAUAAUAAUUUAUGCACUGCGAAAAAUGAGGGAGAUGAUUUGUCGUCCGCGGAAAUGGAGAAACUGAUGCUCCUGAGCUCGAAAACACGAAGCUGGCGAUUACGAGACGAUGACGUGGCGGUGGAUUUAACCGAACCACGGUUCGAGUCUUUUUGUCUGCCGAACGUUGAUUCACAUAUAGUUGAAAUUACAUGAGAAUUGUAUUGAAAAUGAUUUGUCGAGAUGGUUAUAAUUUAUAAACUUGUUUAUUUGAAAUUGCACUUCUUGAAAUCAUGCAAUUGUUGAAAAUUGAAAGGCAUAACAUAUUGAAUUGAAGUAAUAUAGACUUCUAAUUUAUUAUUAAUAUUAUUUAAACUUAAUAUUAUCAAAUAAAGAUUAAUUAGGUUGCACAAAAUUAAUUAACUUAAUUAAGUUCUCUCGCAAGUUACAAAUAUUGGGAUCGUUGGUCUUGCCUAAAAAAGGACCUUAAUUUUCUUCGGGCUGGUUUUGUCAAACUGAAAUGCUGAUUGUAGCGGGACUUUUACUGAAAUUAGCUUAUUUGCAGCGGUACCUUUUCAUUUCAACUUUUUGAAAAACUCAAAACGCUCUCAACUAAAAAAAGUCGAGAAUUAAGAUUUUCGUGUUUACUUGAUAAAUCGACUGCCCGACGACAACAAAUAACAAUAUGACCGAUUCUGACGAGUUUUACGAGGUAAAUCGAAGAAAGUAGUGGAAAUUUUUAUUUUUCGUCGGGUCUAGCAUGUUGUGUAGCACGGGAACCCCAAAAAUUAGGGAUUCCCGUGCUGUACAACACGAUAGCACCAUAACAAAAAAAAAAAUUAAAAUAUAUAGUCACGUGCUGUGGAGCACGGGAAUAUCAUUUUCCCGUGCCUUGGAGGACGGAAAUGUGAGGUUCCCGUGCCCUGCAGGACGGGAACAAUGAACAACCGUGCUCUCCGGCACGGGAACCCCAAAUUAAAUAAUUUUUUAUUUAUUUUUUAUAUUGUUAUUUAUAUACUAAUUAUUACUUGUUAUAUCUUAAUAGGGUACUGAAGGUGAUUUUGACGAUGAGUUUAGAACUGAAUAUGACAAAGAGUACAACGAGUACGAGGAUCCCAACAUGUGUUUCGAUGUUCCUCAAGACACACCAACAACAUCGAGGAUCACAGUCAAUAUUUCAAUGUAGGUGUUGAGUUUGAAACUGGGAAAGAAUUAGUGGAAUGAGCAAAAAAAAUGGCUGCUACUCAUGGUCAUCGAUUGAUAGUAACUUCAAGCCAGAAAAACGUGUAUGUAGUAAUUAGAUGUCAUUUGUCUGGGAAGGGACGUGAAAAACGAACCGAAGGUGUAAAACAACGGAAUGUGGGAACAAAGAAAUGUGGAUGUCCUUUUCGUAUACACUGUAGCAAAAAUCGAAACGAUGAACUAUGGCGAAUGAAUUUAAAAAAUGGCACCCACACUCACCCGACACUAUCGUAUCUUACCGGACAAGGACCGGAUAGUCGUUUGACACCAUAAGAAUACGAGGUAGUGAAGUUACUUAGAAGGAGCCAUGUGAAGCCGGGAUUAAUCUUGGAUCGAUUGAGAAAGGAUAAUCCACAGACAUCAACGAGUGUGAAACAUGUUUACAACCAAUUUGAGAAGAUGAAAAAAGAGAAUAUGGCGGGGAAGACUGUGAUACAACACGUGAUGUCGAACCUUCAAGAAUCUGGAUAUGAAUAUUGGUAUCGAAGUAAUGAAGCUGAUGAUACACUUACUGAUUUGAUGUUCGCUGCUCCUAUUUCAUUGAAACUUUUGCGGUUAUUCUCUCACGUUAUAUUGAUGGACUGCACUUACAAAACCAAUAGGUAUGUUGUUAAUUAGUAUUUAGCAUUGUGCUAUUUUAAAUUGAUUGCAUUUGAUAUUUAUGUAUUUACGUAGGUAUGAGAUGCCACUUUUGGAAAUAAUUGGAAUCACUCCUGUUGGUUACAAUUUUACAAUUGUUGUUGCUUUCAUAUCACAUGAAGAUGCAAACACAUAUGAAUGGGCUUUGCGUUGUUUGAAAUGUGCAUUGGGGGGCUGGUACCUAAUGUGAUAUUGACGGAUCGUGAAUUGGGACUCAUCAAAGCAAUGCCCCUAAUAUUUCCAGAUUCCGCUCAUUUCUUUUGUUUGUUUCACAUCAAUAGAAACGUGGAAAAAAAUGCAUCGAGAUUUAUUGGUAGUACUAAACACGGGCUUAUAUUUCGGCGCAUACAUUGGGCAAAAUUAGUGGAAUAAAAAACAAAAGAAGAUUACCAUGAAAAUUACGAGGAAAUGGUUAGACGCUAUGGUUGUUACCCCAAAUUGAUACCAUACCUUAAUGAUACUUGGCUAAUAUACAAGCACAAAUUCGUCAAAGCAUGGACUAAUAAGAUUUUGCAUUUUGGGAACACGUCGACAUCUAGGUAUUUUUGGUUUCAUUAUCGUCUUGUAUUUUAUAUUAUAUUGUGGGUGUUUUUAAUUAUUAGUUGUUAUUUUAAUGGCUAUUAACAGGGUGGAAAGUGCUCAUAAAUCGUCGAAGGGUUGGAUUAGUGCUUCUACCGGUGCCGUGAACACCAUUCAAUAUCAGCUCGACUCCGGGGUUGAGUAUCAACUAACCAAGAUCAUCGGUGAGUUUUCAAAAUGCAGUUUAAUCCGGUUGCAUAAAUCAUCGUAUCCGGUAUUUCAGGGUUUGAUAUGCAAAGUUACACAUAAAGCAUUAAAUUUGCUUGAUGAUGAGCUCAAAAAACCGGGGUUCCAAGACCCAUCUCUUUGUGAUCACGUUUUGUGGGUUACUCAUGCACUUCCAUGUGCAUGCCGAAUUGCGUUGAAAAUCCAGCAACGUGAUACAUUUAUAUCUAUGGAUCUACAUCCAUUUUGGAGUACCAUGCACGUUGAAGAACCAGAAAUACCUGAAGCACAGAUGGAUCGUGAAACAAAUAUGAGAGACCGAAUAAUCAGACUAGCCACGGAAGUGUUAGAAAAAGAUUAUAGCACUAUACAUGAAUAGCACUAUUCAUCCAGACACCAUCCACUUGGCAGAGUCUGCAUAUGUUAUACCGAAAGGAAGGCCAAAGGAUAAACCGAAGAGAGAUAAUCCGGUUGGGAGUACCCACCAUUCCCGCGGAAGUCGUCUACUGAUGAAGAAAAUGGUAAAUCGUCUGCAGGUUCUAAGGGUCGAAAAAGUACUUCUACCAGAAGCCCACCAUCGAAAGUAACCGAUCCCGGUUCUGGUCGUGGACGAGGGCGGGGUCGAGGGAGUGGUAGAUCAAGUGAUGAAUAUACUGCUAAACAGAAGAGUAAUCCGAUGCCUCGAAAGAAACCGGGCGAUGAGCUCAAUUUCAGAUCUUACAUCCCAGGUUUUGUGGCAGGAUCUAUUGUGUCGUAUGUUAAUGUUAAAGCAGAUAGAAAUUGUGGGUACAGAUGUGUUGCAGAAGCAGUGUUCCGAGAUCAGCACAGAUGGAGUCGUGUAAGGAGAGAUUUGAUUGCCGAUAUGUACGAGCGAUUUGGUACGUACGCAUCGCAAAAUGGUCAAGAUGAAGUCAUCCGAUGGAUUACAAGAUGCGAUUGGCAAGAAGGACCGUGCAGUCGGGACAAAUGGAUGUCAUUUCCGGAUAUGGGAAUGUCGAUAGCGACUAAAUACAAUGCGACUUUGGUCUUAUACGCCGUUGUCGGAAGUAUAACCUACUUACCUCUAGUUGGUCCGGGUGAAUUAUCCCAUAUGAUCCAUAUGGUGUUGUCAGGAAACCAUUUUGUCCUUAUCCAGUUACCGGUUAAUUGUCAUCUACCACCUAUCACUCCACAGUGGCGACCUGUUAGAGCCGCAAAUCUUGCCCACUUGUCGGAAAUGUUCGAAGAGCGCCUAUACAUGUGGCGUCGUUUAUCUAGGUUGGGAUAGGCAUUUUAUUUUAGUUGGUAUGUAUUUGGACCUUGUAUUAUAUUAUUUUAGUUGGUAUGUAUUUGGACCUUGUAUUAUUUUAUUUUAGUUGGAAUGUAUUAGAACCUUGUAUUAUUUUAUUUUAGUUGGUAUGUAUUUGAACCUUGUAUUAUUUUAUUUUAGUUGGUAUGUAUUUGAAAUUAAACCCGAAACAAAAAUAACAUAAAUAAUAGUCAAACAAAAAUAACUGAAAACAGUAAAGCAAGUACAAAACAUAGCCAAAUGUCACAAAAAACAAAUAAAUGUCAAACAAAUACAAAACAUAGCCAAAUGUCACAAAAAACAAAUAAAUGUCAAAUAAAUAUAACGAUCGUCUACUGUCUACCCCUAGACCUCCUCGAAGUGCCACUCGUCCCACCCGGUCGCCGACGCGGUGAUGGCAUCUCCAUAAAGUCGUCGUCGUCGGAAUCUCCAGUGGGGGAUAAACCUAGAAAACGUGCGUGUGGCUCCACACGAGGCUGUAACUGCACACGUAGAUGCUGGGGUAUCUCGUGCAUGUGCGGAUGGAUGAUACGCACAAUGUCAUAGAAGUCCGGCUGAAUAGGAGGGGGGCGUACGACUGGCGGUGGUCCUUGUGGCGCUGGAUCCCGGUUGAUGACGUACUGAUGAGUACGAGGAACGUACCACUCCAUGUACCGAGUGGCAGUCUCAGACGGCGGCCAGGCUAAUGUCCUACCGUCCAACGUAAUUGAGCUGGCAGCCAGGUCCAUCCACUCCUCGCCUGGAGGAUCAUACCGUACCUGGUAUGUCUGCCCUCCAAGCGGACCACGUAGGCACGGCUCUCUGGACUGAAUGUAGCACUGCGGUAUGGUCUGUCUAAAGAUAAACUGCCGAAGGACGCGAUCCGGUAAAUAUGGCUCGAUAAUCUCCAUAAACUGUAUGCACCCAUAAUAUAAUGUACGCGGAACGCGUCUAUGUACGUGCGGACCGUAAGGCAUCCAGUCAAUCUGGAAAAUUAGAUUAACGUAAUAAAAAUUAAAUUUACAUAAUAACUAAUAAUAAAUAAAUUCAACAAUCAAAAUACAUACCUGAUCGGCCUGCAUAUCAUCAAGCAUCCUUCGGACCGAGAACAAGUCUGAAAUACCCUUGCGUGGUUUCCAUUUCAGGAAACGAGGCUGCAUCUCCUUAUAAUCCGAAUUAAUAGGUGCUCGAAAAGGGCGAAAGUACUCAUAAAUCCAGCACUACAAAUAAACGAGACUAUAUUAGAUGAAUAUUAUAUUAAAUUACAAUACAUUAUAUUAAAUAAAUGUACUAUUAGACUAUAUUAUAUACUUAUACUAAUUAUAAUAAUAUAUUAUAUUAAAUUAUAGUAUAUUAUAUUCAAUUAAUAUAUUAUUAAACUAGAUUAUAUAAGUAUAUAAGUAUCUAACUUAUACUAAUUAAUACUACAUUGUUAACAUAAUCUAUUGAGUAUAAUAUAUUAUAUUAAAAUACUACUUAAAUACCUGGAGCAGUAACGUGCAACCCUGUAACCCCUUCACGUGAGCCCUACUAGCCAAGCCCAACUGUCGGUAUAAAUGAGCCAAGACAGCUGCACCCCAAGCAUACUCGCCGACGUGCUCGAGAUCGGAAGAAUAUCUCAUCCACGUUGGCUUGAACCUGUCUACACUCCGGUCGGGGAACAAAGCCAUACCGAUCAAAAACGUCAAAUAUCCUACCACCUUCUGCCGACAAGUUCGGGACCGACUGCGCACACGCUCCACAAACUCCGACCAUUUUAUCCCAAUAUUGCCGAGCUUGGCAUGCGCCUCGACCAUGUCCAAAUCAAGAACCUCAGCUAGCAACAACUCACACAUAGGCCUCUCGUCAACAGAAUCACCGUGCACUGCUAAACCGUCAACACGCAACCCCAAAAUCAAAUGGACAUCAUGUAGGGUGAUCGUCAUCUCACCCCAAGGCAUGUGGAAACUGUUCGUUUCCGGCUACCACCUCUCUAUAAAUGCCCCCAUGAGUCCCUUGUCUACAUUUUUUAUGUUGAAGUACUCGAGUGAGUCUAGGCCAGAUGUCUCCAGUAGCUCUAACUCAUCCUGCCCGUAAGGAGCCAUGAGUUGCUUCAACUCAUGUUUCUUAAAAUCAUUAAGCGCAGUAAUCCUUGACUCACAUCGCCCGACGUUGCGCUCCUGUAGAAUUUCUAAUUUAAUUAGAAAAAGUAUAUUAAAAUAAAUAUAUUUAAAAUAUAUAAAAAUAAAUAUAUUUAAACUUACAUGUCCUGCCCAAAUGUAGUAGGCAAUAUGACUCUUGAAACUAGGAAUCAUCCUCCAAUCAGUCGGUCCUCCUGGAGCUGGACCAUGUAACACAAGUGGGCCACUAAAAGUGUCGAACUCGUACCGAGACUUUCUUGCGCGCGCAGCCGGGACGGGAACAUCAUCAAAAUCGCUCCCAACAUGGUCCUGCUCCUCCUCGUGUCCCUCGUAGGGGAUACGAGAAUCUGCCCCUAAAGAUCGAAUGCUACCCGUCAUAGAUCUAGAACUAUGAUCUAUGUGGGGAAUCUCGUCCACGACGGGUAAAUCAGUGUCGCUCCAUAACUCUCCUACGACGGUGAGAUGCAGUCAUACGAAUGCGCUCCGCUUCCGCCGCGGCUUCCCCGCCAUACCGAAAUUUAAUCUUCGGAACUUUAUCCGAACUCGAAGAAGCCCAUAAGCCCUUUCCCCUUGUCCUGACGUGCCGUGCCAUCUGUAAAAGAUAAAAAAACUAAUUAAAUAAAAUAAUAUCAAAAAAAAAAAAAAUUGAGUUUACCGUUCAGCUGAACACGGGAACUUGAAGAAUCUUUGAAGUCCCCGUCCUCCAGAACACGGGAAACUAAAAAAUCUUCAAGUUCCCGUGUUCUUCAAGACGGGAACUUUAAAUAAUUUUUUUUUUUUACCUAAAUUGGAAAUAAAAAUAAUUAAAAGUAGUAGGAAAUCGAAAACUUACCGGAAUCGAGCCUCGUUUGUACGGUUUGAAUGUCGAAAAAUUUUACGAAAUUCGAAUUUCUAGAGAGUGUUUGGGAAUAGGAGAGAGAAAUUGAAAGUUGAAAAAAUUAAAAUGAAAAAGGUACCGCCGCAAAUAAGCCAAUUUCAGUAAAAGCCCCGCUGCAAAUAGUAACACUCUUUGUCAAACGGGCUGAUUUUUUUUUUGAAAAUGGGCCAACAUUGCCUAAAAUGCCCCUAAAUUAAAAUAAAAGUUAUAUUUCCUAUUUGCAUAAAAAUAAAAGGGUUAUAUUUCAUAUUCCCCUAAAGUUAGAGGGUUCAUUUGAAAAGUUGUGAAAACUUAAAACCCUCUCAUGGCGUCCUAAUUCAAAACCUCGCAGAAACGCUAAACCCCAGUCACAGCCACCUCUCUCCACUUCUCCGCCCUCACCCCGCCCACACGUAUAAAUUGAUAAAGGAAUAGACGGAUGGCCGGAAAAUCAGGCUCGACGCCGGCGACAUACUCGCCGUCCCUCUCUGGUCAGAAGAAGAAGAGGCCUCCCGUACUUGCCGAUUCCAAUUGGGUCCGACCCGACGGCCGCACCCUCCAUCAGUGCCGCCCUGCAUGUGAGUUUUCCAUUUUUUUAUUUUUUAAUUUUUGCAAUUUUUUUGUAUGAUAUGUAUGCUAUUGAGUUGAUUGAAUGGUGCCGUAUUUGAUCUAAUGAACUCCGCGUAUGAAAUUGUGGACUGAAGAAUUGUACUGUGCAAUUUUGUUGGUCCUGAUUGGUUAUCGAUUUUGGUUUUGUUUGUUGGUUAUAUGUAUAACUGCUGGCGCUAUGUAUAAUAAUCGUAUACUAAGUUUCAUGUAAUGUGUUAACUUUCCUAGCAGUUGUUUUUAUUUGAUUUGAGGAAUCAUUAGUUAGUCAUACUUAUUAAACAUAACUAUGCCGAUAGAAAACAAUGCCGAUUGUUCCGUGUUUUCGCGGAAGAGUGGAUGCAGAGAGUCGAUUUCUAAGCACAUGGAAAUGGCCCUUAAUAAUUAAUUAUGUUGAAAUUCUAUAUCCCUAAUAUCGUUAAACUAAUUGCAUAUUAUUUAGGUGGGACGAGCUUGAGUUUAUAGUCCAUUUAGAGAGUACUAUGGUUGACAUGACACUCUUAUGAAAUCGAUUGUUAAUUUUUUUUUUUAAAUCUUGCAGUUCUAAGGACUGGGGCCGUAAAUUCUGCUUCAGGGUCUGCAUAUGCGGAAUUCGGAAAUACCAAGGUCAUUGUAUCUGUGUAAGUAGUGCAUACUUUUUUAAAUACAAUGUUUAAAAGUUACCGAGUUGCUAUAGCACCAUUCCACAUUAACUUAUUGUAAGAAACAACAAACCAAGGUGUUCUAGAUCUUGUCACGUUCAAAUUCCUUCCAGAUAUUAUUUGCUACAAAAUGGUGUGUGCUGAUGUUUUCAAUUGGGUUAUGCCGUUCAGAUUUGGUCCUAGGGAAAGUAAGAAAGCAAUGAUGUAUAGUAACUCCGGGCGGUUGAAUUGUAAUGUCAGUUACGCAACUUUUGCUACUCAUGUUCGUGGUCAGGUGAAUCAUCUUCUUUAUUGAUUCUUUUUUUUUUUUUUUAAUUCAUCUUCUUUAUUGAUUUUUUUUUUUAAUAAUUCAUCUCCUUUAUUGAUUCUGUUCAAUCUCCUCUUUUCUUUUUCUUACCCUAUAACUAUAAUAUUGUUAUGUAUCUGAAACUUAAUUCUACUUAUUAUUCAGAUGCCAGAAACUAAGGAUAUUUCCUCAAUGCUCCACAAAGCUUUGGAGGGUGCCAUAAUACUUAAAUCUUUCCCCAAGACAACUGUUGAUGUUUUUGCUUUGGUAUUGGAAUCUGGAGGAAGUAAGUACAGUAUUAAACUUAUGUUUGAAAAAAAAAUUGCGUUAUUGAUUUGUAAGCAAGUAAUAUAUGGCAAAACAUAGUCACGAUUUUUUUUAACUUCUAAGGGAUGAAGUAGAUUGCUUUUAAAUUAUUUGAUAGAAUCUUCAUUAAAAAAUCAACGAAGUACAAUUGCGAAAAGUGUAGUUAAUACACUUAUUAUUACCGAAACAAUGAAAUUACUGUCGAAGUCGACUAAUACCAGCUAAUAGGUAGGUGGCUGGACUGCUGAAGUAGUACAGGGUAGAUGAACGAAGGUCUAGGAGUAGUAUAAGACAAUCGGAUCGUGGUCCAUUUAGAUACUUUAUUCUUUUUUUCCAUUUUUUUACUGCAGCAAGCUAAUUGUUGAAAAUUAUAUAUCUAUUAAGAGAUGUAUUCUCUAAUGUUUCCUAUACUAAUAAGAACAAUUUAUUAUCGAUGCAGGUGAUCUCCCAGUAAUUACAACAUGUGCCAGUCUUGCUCUAGCAGAUGCUGGGAUCAUGUUAUAUGACAUGGUUACCUCUGUUUCUGUGGUACGUAUCACGUUUUUAUUCUUUUAUUUUCAUGGACUUUCAUGUGUCCAGUUCCUUCCAGUACAUGAAAUAGAGUGCGAAAUUUUGUAGCUAUUCUUAAAUGUGCACACAACAAAUUAAAGAAUGAACUUCUCUAAAUACUCUCAAAGCUCUGAUUGGUUCAACGCAAAUUGUAAGUAAAACGGUGAAAAAGGAAAGUAAAAUCAUUUUCUUGUUAAGGUUUUCUCGGAAAUUGUUUAAAAUGUGUUGGAGUUUGGACAUCCAAUGCUUAUGCAACUAGUGGCAUCGCGACUGCUUGACAACUUUUAAACUUAUUGUAAACAUCAUUAAUGAUGUCAUGUUUUCAAUUUUUUAUGGGGAUACUUUCAAAUGAAAUGCCACAUGUAUUCAUGCUGCUAUAUUCAUGCACAGUCGUGUCUUGGGAAGAAUCUUCUGAUCGACCCUUUAUCAGAAGAAGAAAGCUACCAAGACGGAAGUCUAAUGAUUACUUGCAUGCCGUCACGUAACGAGGUUACUCAGAUGACUGUCACAGGAGAGUGGUCGACACCAAAGAUAAACGAGGUAUUCAAAAUCCUAAUCACUAACUUUUUUUUAGUUUGUUUAAAUACGUGUCUGCGUACUAAAACAACUGAGCAUAUUGAGAACCCUAUUCGGGCUGAAAUCUAGAAUCAAAAUAUGCAUUUAUGGAUUAGAUCUUUAUUCCCACUAAAAUUGCUCGUUGCCAUUUGCUUCUUGUUGUUUUUUCAUCUUAUACAAAUACAAAUAUUGGGAUUUGAUCUUUUACGCAGGCAAUGCAGUUAUGUAUUGAUGCUUGUUCCAAACUAGGGAAGAUAAUGAGGUCGUGUCUGAAAGAAGCUGCUUCCAUUACACAGGAUUAGGCUACGUGUUAUACAGCUGCUGAAAUUAUUGGUAAAAAAAUCUGUUUUUGACAUCAAUUUUGCUUCUUAAUAUCCGGACCCUUUCUUUUCGUUGAAAUGUAGUCAUCUCUGUCGAUUAUCCUCAUUUAAACGUUGAUUUAUAUUCUGUAAUAGUAGUGAUCGAUUGACAUCUUUGAGUUUUUGAUGUGCCGCCUAUUCCGAUAACGGAUAAAGUAGCAGGUCUAUCAAAGCUUACUAGGAAAGUUUGUACUUCAUAUAUAUGUGUUUGUGUGUGUGUGUGUGUGUGUGUGUUCAAUUUGAUUGAAAGAUUUUGAUUAGAGUUUUAAUGUAGAAUUAAUUUUGUAGAAGUAAUGGACUGGAAUAACUGGAUAGAGUACAGACAAAAAUGUUUGUUGGAGAGAGAGAGAGAGAGAGAGAGAGAAAGAGAGAGAGAGAGAUGCAUUGAAUAGUUGACGGUGGGCAUAUUCCGUGUUGGUCCGUUAGGGUACAGGGUUUUAAAUAGAGACCAUCUGGUUGCCCUUUGCUGCCGACCAUCUGCAUCUGAAAUUACGGAUUUGUCCCACCGUCAAAUGCAGUGCUACAUCUAAUUUGGUCAAACUAAAUAUCUAUAAAUAAUAUAUUGGCCUCAAAUUUGGAAAAUACUACUUGCGUAUACAUCUUUGUACAAAAUGCAUUUCGCCCCUUAGAAAUUUUAUUUUUUGCACUUUCACCCUCUCAAAAUUUUGUGUCACUUGCCCUUUGCCUGAAAUCACAAUUCAGGCGUAGUUUUCACCGGAAUUGCCAUGAAUCCGUCCAAUUGAAGGGCAUUUGUGUAGAUUUAGAGACGGAUAACCAUCGAUACUAACUGAGGGUUCUCACGAUUUUGGGACCAUAGUAGGUACAAUUUAUUUUGGGGCAAUUUCAUGUGAAAAGUACUGCCAAAAUUGUGAUUUGGGGCCAAGUGCAACUAAAAUAAAAUUUGAAGAGAUGAAGUGCGAAAAUUGAAAAUUUACAGGGGCAAAGUGCAAUUUGGUGUACAUUUUUUUAAUUUAAUCUUCUUUUUUUUUUUUUUUUGAAAAAAUGUAAUCUUCUAGAAUAAAGGUAAUAUACAAGUGGAUGUCCCUAUUUUAUGCCAAAUAUUGCAAGAUUUGACUUUAUUGUGGAAGAUCUAUGUGAGAUGCUUAGUUUAACCUAUCUAUUAAAUUAGUAAUAUAUGAUGUCACCAAAACAAUUGAUAAUGUCUAUGGGUGAUAGCAUCACCACUUAGGAAUAUUUUAAAUUAGAGAAUUAAUUAAUUUAUAACAAAAGACAAAAAACUUAAUAUAAUGUAUUCAUUAACUUAUAUAACUACUAAAUUGUAUUGCUAGACUAGGGGAAGAAUAAAUCCCCAAGUGUUGAAAAAUAUUCAAUAAUAUUGGUCAAAGUGGUAUAAAUUUUAUUCCAUAUUGAAUUUGAUGAUGAGUUUUUUCAAACUUGACUAUAAGUCCAUUGUCCUAACUCCUAUUAGAUAAAGCACUAUAUGUUAUUUGCUAUUUCGUCCUCCUUUUCAAGUCAAAUUUUGUUUAAGGCAUGGAUAAAUAAGCGAUCUGAAAUGUUAAAUGUCGUCUCAAUUUUAUUAUUAUCGUUUUGACUUCGAACGUGAUUUUAGGAAUCUGAUUUUGGCAAAAUUCAAAACACAAAAAUUGUAGCUUAAUGAGUUAGCUUUUCAAUACAGCUUGAAUCAGGUGGACUAGAUUUAUGGUGACAAAAUUAUGCAUGAAUGAGUUACAUUUUAAAUUUUAGAUAACUCAAAACAUCAAAAUUAUAGGUAGUGUUUAUUUAUUCAUAUUAUUUUUUUUAUUCACAUUUGAUUCGAAAGCUAACUCAAAGAUCUGCAAAAUUAGUUUUGAAUGUUUGCCAAAUUCAACCUAAAAAUUGUCAAAAUCACGAACGUAUGAUUAAAACUGAUGUUCUAACAACAAGAUAUUCGCGGCCGAGAGUGACAAACCCAAAUUAAAAAAUAUUAAAUGAAGACCAAGUAACACGUGGCAGGAUACCAUUGGUGUAAAGUCAAAUUAAGUCAACUCCUUGGAUCUUUACAGAAAACCCAAUGUGUAGUCAUAAAUAAUUAUACUAAAUUGGACAAUUUUAUUAUUUUAAUUAAUUAUUAAACACAGCUUUCUCUGCUUCCACCCCAUUUGUGAACCUUCUCUAGGCUGUACGAAUUGUGUGAUGAUCUUUUCUCUCUCACACACUACACCCACUCACAUACAGAUGGAUACACACAUAUACACACACAUAUAGAUGCCGUCAUAAAUUUUCUUCAAUAAUUAAUUACUCCCAUAUUUAUUCUGUUGUCUCAUUCAGAAAGAAAGAAACUGAUGAACUUCUGGGGUGGCAUUAACAAUGGAAAAGAUUGAAUCUUUAUUGUAAUUAACCACCCCUUAAUUCAUAUACAUAUUUAUUAAAUUUUUCCCUUCUUUUUUUUUUUUUUUUUUUUUUUUUGGUUUCUUCUUUUUGGAGGGUUUCUCUAAAUAUUAGUUGUUUAAUUCGGUUCUCAUUUUGAUCAGAAGGAUUCUUCAUGUGCAGAAUGCUUGUAAGUAUUUUCUCUCUCUUGAUUAAUUGUUCUUGUUUUUUUUUUUCUGGGAUUUAGUAAAUCAUAAUCUGAUUAGGGUUUUCUUUUUUUGCGCUGUCUUGAUUUUGUUUACUGUAAUAACUGUAUGUAUAUCAAUCUUGAUUUUUGACUGGUUCUUCUUCAACCAAGAACAUGACCCCUUUUGAAAAAAUUGACAAUUAAAUUUUUGUAGAGAAAAUAAAAAAUAAAUAAGUAAAAUCAUAGAAUUAGUCACGCGCUUGACCUGACUUUUUUGUUGGUCUGAAAACAAACGAAACAGAGUAUUUGAUACUCCUACAAAGUUGAAAAUGGCUGUUAGUUUGUUUCUUCACAUGAUUCUCUCUUUGCUCGAAAAGCAAAGCUUGUUCUCUCUUAUUUAAUUAUUUUUUCUGGUGGCUAUGAAUUCGUCGUCUGUCGUUUUCUCCAUGCUUUAGGCCUCGUAUUAAUCGUAGUUCUCGUUUUUUUCGAUUUUUUUCCGACAGACGAAACAAUCUAUAUGUACCAACGUCAACAACUUCUUUUUAAUCCAUUGCCAUGGAUUACACUAAUUCAAGAUCCGUAAGGUAUGUCGUCUUGUUCGAAUGUCGGAAAAUUCAGCCCUUCGUUUAAUUUCAUUUUUUACAUGUAUAUUUAAUUUUCUUGUUCGUAAAGUUUGAUCGUUGAUUUUUCGCAGAUUCCACGACGAUAUUGAAUUUCCGAAAUAUCCAAUACCCAAGGUCGAUAAUAACCCGAUUAAAGUGGAGUACAAAAUCAACGGAAAACAAUCGUUGAAAGCCAAAGUUCUUUCCCGAGUAUUCUCGGAGGAUUACGAAAGAGUCAAGAAAAAGAUACUCGAUCCUCGUGGGCACACAAUUCGGAGAUGGAACAAGAUUUUCUUAGUAGCUUGUCUAGUGUCGUUAUUCGUCGACCCUCUAUUCUUUUAUUUACCAUCGGUAAACGACAAUUAUUGCAUAAACAUUGGAUUCACUCUAGAGGUUGUCCUGACAAUCAUAAGAUCAAUAGCCGAUGUAUUCUACACAAUUCAAAUUUACAUUCGAUUUCGCACCGCCUACGUGGCGCCUUCUUCUCGAGUCUUCGGCAGAGGAGAGCUCGUAAUCGACUCCUCGAAAAUUGCAUCGAGGUAUCUUAGGAGAUAUUUUUGGAUCGAUGCUAUUUCUGCCCUUCCUCUUCCUCAGGUUUGUCGAAUAAAAAAAAUCCCGUUCUUUUUUUUUUUUUUUUUUGAUAUAAUAUAAAAACUUGAUUUUUUUUUUUUUUUGUAGGUGUUGAUUUGGGUAGUUAUUCCUAGCUUGAGUGGAUCGACAAUGACGAACACGAAAAAUGUGCUGAGAUUCAUUAUAAUAUUCCAGUAUAUUCCGAGAUUAUUCCUUAUAUUUCCGCUUUCGUCGCAAAUUGUCAAGUCGACUGGUGUGGUUACGGAAACUGCGUGGGCCGGUGCUGCGUAUAAUUUAAUGCUUUACAUGUUAGCGAGCCAUGUAAGUAUAUGAAAUGCUUUUUUUUUUUUUUUUUUUUAUUUCGAGUGAAUUGUUUACAAAAUAUUUGAAAUGCUAUUAUAUAAUUUAUUUUAUUUUUAAAUUCAAGAUUUUAGGGGCAUCUUGGUAUCUACUCUCGAUCGAGAGGCAAGAAGCUUGUUGGAGACAUGCGUGUAAUCUCGAGAGUAAAUCUUGUCAGUACAAUUACUUCGAUUGUCGUAGUGUUUCGGAAAGUAGGAGAAAUGCCUGGUUUUUGUCGAGCAACGUUACGGAACAGUGCAAUCCCGAUAAUGCCCUUUAUCCGUUUGGUAUUUACGGAGAUGCUGUUUCCGCUGAUGUCACUUCCGCGGAGUUUUUCAACAAGUACUUCUAUUGUCUGUGGUGGGGUUUAAAGAAUCUCAGGUAUAUAUAUAGUUUAUUAUUCGUAAAAGUUCCGAAUUCCACCGAUUCUGAUCUGAAAAUUUUCCGAUUUUUGGAACAAUAUUUUUACAUUCCAAAUUUUGCAAUUUCCGAUUUUCUAUUUUUCCAAUUUUUUUGAACUGAAUUGGAAUACAUAUUAGAUUUUGAUUCCCCGAUCCGAUUUUAUUUUCCGAAAAUUCUGAAAAAUAAAAUUCCUGAAAAAUUACAGUUAUAACAUUAAUAUUAUUAUUCUAUUCUUCUAUUAUAUUAACCAAAAAAAAAUGGAAUGUCUGAAUUCCGUUGACUCCGUCCGCAAUUUCCCGAUUUUGUAGCAGGUUUUUUUAUUCCAAUUUCCGAGAUUGCUAUUUCCCAUUUUUCGAUUAUCUUUUGGAAAAGGAUUGGGAUUAAUUUCCCAUCUUUGAAAAAAAAUUUGAAUUUUUUCGAAAGUGCUUAUUCUGAUCCGAUUUGUCCGAUUCCCACCCCUAAUGGGUUUAUGAUUAUGCAGUUCUUUGGGCCAAAAUCUUGCGACAAGCACAUACAUCGGAGAAAUAUGCUUCGCGAUAAUCAUUGCAACUUUCGGGCUAGUUCUGUUUGCCUUACUUAUAGGGAACAUGCAAGUAAGUCUCUUUAUUACACUUUUUAAAUUCUUACAAAACUCGUAAAUGUUCGUUCGUUUUUUUCCAGACAUACCUUCAGUCAACCACGGUUAGAUUAGAAGAAUGGAGAAUCAGAAGAACAGAUACCGAACAGUGGAUGCAUCACAGGCAACUACCCCAAGAGUUACGGCAAUCCGUUCGGAAAUACGAUCAAUAUAAAUGGGUUGCCACAAGAGGUGUCGACGAAGAAGUUCUUCUCAGAGGACUUCCUUUAGAUCUCCGUCGAGACAUUAAACGCCACCUGUGUUACGAUCUUGUUCGACGGGUUAGUCAUCAAAUUCUUUCAUUUCGAAAUUCCAAUCACGUUAAGAAAUAGGGAAAUUUUGAUAUCGAAUUUGCUCUACUUAGGGAUUUGGGGGUAAAAUUCUUUCAUUUUGCCGGGAAAAUUGAUAAUUAUAAUGAUUCGUUUUUUUUUUAAAUAAUUAUAUUAAAAAAAAAAAUAGGUCCCGUUGUUCGAUCAAAUGGACGAGAGAAUGUUGGACGCGAUAUGCGAGAGGCUAAAGCCGGCAUUAUGCACACAAGGCACGUGCCUAAUGCGAGAGGGGGAUCCGGUGAACGAGAUGCUAUUCAUAAUCCGAGGGAAUCUUGAUUCGUACACCACUAACGGGGGCCGCACGGGUUUCUUCAACUCGUGCCGUGUGGGGCCCGGCGAGUUCUGUGGGGAGGAGCUUCUGACGUGGGCCCUCGACCCGCGUCCGAGCGUCAUCCUCCCCUCGUCCACCCGUACGGUCAACGCCGUCUCCGAGGUGGAGGCUUUUGCUUUGAGGGCGGAAGAUUUGAAAUUCGUGGCGGCGCAGUUUAGGAGGCUCCAUAGUAAGCAAUUGAGGCAUAAGUUCCGAUUCUAUUCGCACCAAUGGCGGGCUUGGGCGGUUUGUUUUAUUCAAGCGGCGUGGAGGAGGUACAAGAAAAGGAAGGAUUUGAACGAGUUGCGGGCGUUGGAGAGGCUAGUGGCGGGCGAGAAUGGGGGCUCGCCGGAUGGAGGAGCGGAGGGAGCGGCGGCGGUGGUGGAGAAGGGUGGAGCUGCGGGUGCCGGUGGUGGUGGUUCGGGAUUUGGUGUUUAUGCGGCGAGAUUGGCGGCAAGUAAGAGAGGGGCUCUCAAGAGUGGUGGUUUGGAUUCCGGUGGGGCCGGGCGGCCGUUGCAGAAGCCGGCCGAGCCGGAUUUUUCGGCCGUAGAGAAUGAAUGAUUUUUUUAUUAUUUAUUUGGUAACUAUGUGUGUUGGAUUGUGUUGUAAAAUAUAUAUAUAGAACUGUAUGAUAUAUAGAGUUAAUGAAGGACAAAGCCCAAUUGGUUGGUUUUAUUACCAAACUGUCUUUGCAUUAUUUGCUAUAGAAAAUUGUAAUCAGCGAUUCUUUAUUAUUCGGAGAAUGUGCUAAAAGCGUACUUUAUAGUUAGGGUAAAUUACAGCCAGCCCCUUAGGUAUUGUCAAAUUACGAAAACGCCCCUUCUGUUUGGGUAAUUACAACUACCCUUCAACUGUAAAUCUUCUUAAACGUCCACGCUUGAUGUUUUAAAUUUAGUGGAAUCUUUUAGAUUAUGUGGAAUAUUAUCACUUUUGUACCCGUUUUAUCCCAUUCGAGUUCCACAUUUUGAAGCAAGAUGAUCGAUCAUAAAAUGUGUUUUUGGGCUUGUAUAUAUCAGAUUUUGGUGCAUUAGAAACUGUAUUUUUACACAAAACGAUUACAAACUAGAAAACAUUCUACGGAAUCGAAAAGAUUAUGUUAAAUUUAAUACUAUAAGAGUGGAUGUAUAAGAAAAUUCAUAAUUGAGAGGGGAGGGGGGUAAAUAUAAUUAUGCAAACAAGAGUAAUUUUUUUAUAAUUUGACCCUACCUCAGAUUGGUAAUGAUAAUUUACCCAUAUAAUUAACAUAAGUCUACUACACAAGUCUUCCAAAGUUGACAUUUCAUUUCUUUGGUGGAAAAGAAAUCAUAUAGAAUCUAAAUUUAUAAUCCCUUUAGCUUUUAUUGAAAACCUCAAUACUAAAUUUCGAUAUCGACAACCGAUUCUCUUUAUGCUCAAACUCGACCCAGUCAACUCAUAAUCACUUCGUCCCUAUCCAAUACUUUUACUUUAUCAACUCCUCCAUUAUUUCUCAAUAUAGGAUGUGUUAGAAUAUAAUGAGUCACCAUGACAUAUAAAAUUUCUCUAUCAAUUUGCUUUUUGAUGAUAAUUCAAUAAGGAGAUAUAUAUGCACCCAAUAUAGUCAACGAUCCAAUACCUUAAUUUUGACUCUUUGAAAAAAAAUGGUGGUCCUAGAAUUGUUGAAAAGAACAAGACAAAUGCAAGUUGAGAUUUUAUGGUAGUGAAGAUCUUCACCUUUACAAGUAAAACAACGUUUAAGUACAUGUAUAUAUGUACUUGAAAAACGUUGACUUUUUACAAACCUAAAUAUCGUUGACCUAAAGUUUCAUUUUUGGUGAGCACAAAAAAAUUGCUUGUAAAAGUUGGAUCAUCCAUUUUUUGGAUGUGCCCACAUAGGUGAAAAGUAUGUAAUUUAUUUGAUUUUAUUUUUUAUUAAUACAAACAUACGAUGAGUUCAAAUAUAAUAUUUUUUUAAUAUAAUUUUAUUAAUAAUAAAUUUUAUAUCCUUAUUUCGAAUGAAUAGAAAGGAGUGGCCCAAUUGAUAGAUGAAAGGCUUUUUUGGUGUGAUUAGUUAGGCCCAAACUUCCACUUGAAGCCGGCUUUUGUUUUCUUCCUUGACUUUCUUUCUAUAAGAUCACCCCAAAGUCAACUCUUAGAUAUUGAAACAUUUUUUUUUAUAUAUUUUAAAGUUCGUAUAUCAUUUUAUUUUACGAAUUAUAUUAAUUUUAUAUUCAUUAAUUAUAUCACUAAUGGUAUAUAUAUAUAGGUGUUCACUCAGCCGAUAAACCGUUCGGAUCUAAAUCGAAUCACAAAUUCGGUACGUGCCAAAUACCGAAUUGAAAUUCAGUUCGGUGUUCGGUAAUUAUUUUUUGGAAGUCCCGUAUUUAGUACAAUAUACGGUAUAGAUGUCCCGUAUACUUAUUUCCAUUAUUUACAAAUUAGCUUCUAUUGAUAAUCACCUUUUCUUUUGACGGUCGGUUAUUGAAAUUUGAAUGUCAAAUUCAAGUAUUACUUAGUUUAAAUAUGUUUCUUUAUUUUUUUAUUUUUUAAAUAUUAAAAUAUAUUUUUGAUUUUACUAGUAGCGAAUCGAAAAAAUCGAAUUAAUUCGAUCAAAAACCGUAUCGAACCGAAUAGCUCGAUUCGAUACAUGGAAUAUUGAAAUUUCGGUUUUCGAAAUUCCGGUACGGUAUUACCGAAUGUGAGCACAACUUUAAAUAAAAGUCUUGUAGUAUUUUUAACAUGUGUAUAUGAUUAAUUUGUAACAUGCACUAUAUAAUAAUAUACAAAUUUUAGUAUGAUUUAUAAAUUAUAAUUACAAAUAUCAUUAAUGUACGCGUGUCACCUUCAACCGUGUAAAUUGUAAACUUAAAUACAACUCUAGUCACUAUCAAUUUUGUUCCAAUAUAUAUUUUUUUUAAUUUUAACUAAAAAACAUCACUUACCAAUAAUAUAUAAUUAAUAAGAGUCUACAAGUAGAAAUAAAUAAAUGAUUAAUAAAUUGAUUCUUUUUUGUCUUCAGGCCCACCAGAAAAUUCCUAAACCGUCAAUUUAGGCUGAAAUUAUCGCAAAUAACCAGACAAAAUCUGGUAAUGUAUGGCCCAUAAGUCUACAGUAAUAUAGUAACGUGACAUUGAAUUAUUAUUCAUAUAGAAUGAUCCAAAAUUCCAAACCAUGUGAAAAUGCAUCGAGAAAGUCUAUUUAGGUAUUAUUCAAAAUUGACAUCUAAUUAAAUUAAAGACCCGAUUCUUAGAGUUGACCAAUUAAUUAAAAUAUAAUAAUACUACUAAAACUUUAUAAAUUAAUACAGUCGUGACUAUAAAAACAAAAUUCUAUUAAUUCAGUGAAAUAUUAAACUAUCUAACUAAUAAUUUAUGCAUUUUCAGUAGGUUGGGAUUACGAUAAAUUUAUUAUUUGAGCGGAAUUGUUAAUUUAUUGAUGUUCUACUGUAUGAGCAUGGUGUAGUAGUAAAAUAUACAUAUGUAAAUUUAAUUUACUUGAAGGACGAAUCAUGAAGAAAAUUGUGUGCCACUAGAAUGUAGUGAGAAAACUCAAAUACAGUAGAAUCUUGAUAGGUUAAUGAUCUCGCUUUUAUAAUAAAUUCUCUCGUCUCGACAAGUGAAAAUUUAUUAAAUUACUAGUUCGAUGAUUUAAUAUUUUUUAAAAUUAAUAAAAUUUUAUUAAUGCCGACUGUAUUAAUUUAUAGAGAUUUAAUUGUAUUUGAAUUAUAUAUAAAAAAGAAUAAUAUAUAUAUGCUACCCGUAAUUAACUAGUAUAUAUAUCAUGUAUUACAUUUACACUAAUUUAAAAUUAUUUACCAUUAAUUUUUAAUCAUUAUAUUAUUAUAUAUAUUAGAUGGUAGAUUUUAUUUCUAAUAACAAUGUCGGCAAAAGAUCACUAAAUAAUAAAUUUUCCAAUACUACAUAGUUUGACUCGUAUAACAUGCAUAAAGAAAAACGAGAUUCUUCAUUGAGGAAAUUUAUGACGUCACUAAUUUACACAAUUAAUUAAGUUAUUAUUCAAAGUAAAUUAAGAUUGUGAAUUAUCGAAUGUGCACGUGUGGUUUUAUCAUGCAUAAAGUAAAAUGAUACUAUCAUAAAUUCAUAAUGUCUAAUCAUUCCCCACUCAUGCUAAUUAAUCUCUAUUAUCGCUCAACGUAACCUUAAUUUGAAUAUAAGCUUUUUUAAUUAGAUCACCUUUUCCAAAUGAAAAGACCAAUAAUUGUAGUCAUUCUUUGUUAGCCAUAUACUUAUAAUAUUUUUAGACUUCGUUUCUUUAUCUAUAUCGGAUUAAUUUGUAUUACAUUCAGACAGUUCCUUACAUUCGAUCUUGCAUUAAAUUAAUUAAUUUGUUAAAUUCAUUAAGAAAAUAUUGAUUAGUAACACCUCUCACCUUGUAGAUUAAUUUUGUGGGGAUAAUUAAAUAAUAAACAGAGGAUUUUAUCCUUAAAACUACAUCAUUAUAAUUUUGUUAAGUAAUAUAUUUAUUAACAAACAUAUAUAAUUCUAAAUUUUAAUAUAUUUAAUACAAGAUUUAAUCUAAGGAACCUAACAUCGUACUAACUAGAAAAUUAGUUAGUUAUUGGAAAAUAUAUACUUUCAUCUAAUUUAACUUAAUCUAAUAAAGGUAACCGAACGAGGCAGUUUUAACUUUUAAGAGUGUAUAAUUGCAGAAUUCAACUUUUGUAGCGGGAUUGAGUAAGUACAAAUUUAAUAAAUAAAAUAUUUAGAUAUUAGAUAAGAACUUGGAAAUUAAUUAGUCAUGUGAUUAUAUAUAGUUUAAGUUGAUAUACAUUUCAAAAUUAAGGGUCUAAGUUUGAAGUGCCGCCUCUGAAUUAUAUGUGAGUGCGUUUGGCACUUUUGGCUGUGGAUAAUUAAUUAAUUCCAAAAUGUUGACUUCUUGACAAUGUAUUGAGUUUUUGACCACCAAGAAAAAAACUAUUGUUAAUUAUUAUUUGGAUUAAUUAAUUAAUUAUAAAUAUUGUUUGAUGUAAUCAAGGAUGUAAGUAAUUAAUUACGUGGCAAUGAACAAGAAUUUGGCGCCGCAUGUUCGCGGGAACGAGAUCCAAUCGCAUGCACCGCGCGCCAUGUGAGUCUUUAAUUACCUCCCAAUUAUUUGUCAGAAUUAUUAAAAAAAAUUAAUCAAGAUUAGUGGUUUUUUCAAUUUAAAUUAACCAAAAGGAAUAAAAUUAACACCUUUAAAAAAUAAAUUAUAUUAUUAUUAUUAUUAUUAAUUUUUUUUUUUUGCAUAAUGGGAAUGCAAAGAAAAGAGAACCAAUGGAGAAAACUGUGAAAUUAACACGGUUUGAAAAGAAUGGAGAGUUGACAAUUUUGUCAGCAUGUGAUCGACUCUCUUGUUUUUUUGUUUUUUGUAUGCUAUUUUAAUUUUUAAUAUAUAUAUAUAAAUUAUGUUAAUUAUAUAUAUAUAUUUUUUUAUUAUUUUUUUUAAUUAGUAAGAUCUAAUUAUUAGUUUGUUGACAUUGAUCUACGUUGUUUGACUCUCAAUACUAUUUCAACCGACCAUUCCCAACUUUUAUUAAUGUUAAUUAAUUAAGAGCAAUUAAUUAAAAAAAGAUGCUUUUCCUGAUCCCUCAUUUAUUUUUUAUUUUAUUUAUUUAUUUUAAAUAACAAUAAUAAUGUACUAAUUAAGAGAAUUAAAACUCUCUUUAUUUAUUAACAUUCUCCAAAAUUUGGAUAUUGUCUUCCAAAUACUCUCUUCUCUCUACUCUCUACCAAUAAAUAUCCCAGCAAAAUUAAAACUUGAAAAAAAAAAAAAACCUAAAAUAAAAUAACAAGCCAAAAGCUGAAGAUAAUAAAAAUCAAGAAAAUCUAUAAGCAAGUGGUCCAGCUUCCAGCUUAUUUCCUUCAAAAUCAAGAGCCACACAAAUUUGAAUUAUCCAAUAUGCAAGCUGACGAGUACUAAAAUAAAACUAAAAAUAAAAAAAUAAAAUAAAAUAUCCCAAAUAAAAACUUCAAUAAGUUUGGCAAAAGGCCAAUAACAACAAAUUAAAGCAUGCUACAUUAUUAUUAUUAUUCAUGAAAUUAUUCUAGUACACGUAGACACCUACCAAAAGUCAACCCCACCAUAUUCUUCUUCCUACAAAUAAGCUGCUUCUUACUUGAAAAACUUUCAUUCAAUAUUCUACUCAUAAAUCAAAUGCACACAACCCCCCCUACGUGGCUUAUGAAUUCCAUAAGCUGCAUGUUCUUCUUCUGAUCAGCUUUUAGCUUCUAGCUUUCAGCUUUUCUUUCCGCUUAAUUUGCUCUACAAGAAAAGGCCUCAACGUCGGCCGCCCCUCCGAACCCUCAUCGAGUUUUUACGGUACACCAUCUUUUUUUUUUUUUUUUUUUUUUUUUUUUUUUUUUAAUUUAAUUUAAUUAGUUGCUUUGAGUUGUUCUGAAGAGAAGCAUUUGACUUGUAGUUCAAACUUUCUGAGAUUCAAUGCUUAAGCACUUAUUUUCUAAGCGCAUUACCUGGGAUUCUCAUGAGUUCAAGAAUUUCUAUAAUCAUUAAUUAAUAUUUGAUUAAAGAAAGUAAAAAGUACAAUUAGUUAGUUAACUUUAUUUAAUGUUGAUCAUGAACACAAUUAAGCAAGUUCAUGCAAUAUAGCAACAUAUUUUCAUCUCAAAUGCCAAAACAUGCAAUUAGGGUGUAAUUAAUACGCCUCGUUUCCCGGCGAAAGCACCGCGCUUUUUCGUUUAUUAGGGCUAACCCCAUGUGAACCUCUGCAUUUUUCAUGGUUUCCUCCAACACAAUUUAUUACUUUCUUCACACACACACACACUUCUCUUAUGUAUAUAUAUACGUCACUAAUCGAGCUUCAUCGUAAUUAAUCGAAUCUUGAAUUCUCGUUUUUCUCGUUUUUUUUCUCUCCAAUACAGAAAGAUUGCUGCAAUUUUGUUAAAUGGGCUUAUCAAGAAACCAAAGCAUAAGAUCGAGUGGAGAGUAUUUGGAAGGGAUGCUAAGCGAUUACAUGGGAGGCAAAACGAAGCCGAGUACGAGAGCUUCACCGAAGGCGGCCACCUCAUCGCGCCUUGUCACCGUUCUAACUUGCCUACAAUUUGCGUUCGCCGUUUACGCCACUUUCCUCCUUUACUUCAUGAGCCCCUCGGUCGAUCUCAGGGGCAAACCGGACUUUUCGUGGGCCACCCGUAUAUGGAAGCAAUUCACGCUCACCCCGCACGUCAUCAAUCACUAUCAAGAAUCCAACUCCCUCGUCAAAGAGUAUUCACUAAUCCCAUCGCAAGUUUGCGAGCAAGAAAAGAUCGAUUUCGUGCAGAAGAAAUCCACCGACGCGGUCAUGAUCAAGUUGAAAACCGAACUCUACCAACAAGUGCUCGAUUUUCAAAAGGCGAAAAUCGGAACCGAAACCCUCUCCGAGCUAAUGUCGAUGAAAUCCAAAUGGGAUAAUUCGAAUAACAAAAUCCCGAAAGUCACUGUAAUUCUAAACCAUUUCAAGAGAAAGACACUAUGCGCCCAAAUCGACUCCCUACUCCACCAAACGCUCCCUUUCCACCACGUUUGGGUACUUUCAUUCGGAAGCCCGAACGAGCAAUCUCUAAAGAGAAUAGUCGAGAGCUACAACAACUCCAAAAUAAGUUUCAUAAGCUCUAGCUACGAUUUCAAGUACUACGGUAGAUUCCAAAUGGCGCUACAGACGGAAGCGGAUCUCGUCUACAUCCUAGACGACGACAUGAUACCCGGUACGAAGAUGCUGCAGAUCUUGUCCCACGUGGCGGGUACGGAAAAGUACAAGAACUCUGUACUAGGUAGCAUCGGAAGGAUUUUGCCCUUCCGGCAGAAGGACUUCACUUUCCCGAGCUACAGAAAGUUCCGUUCGAAGGAGGCUGGCCUUUAUUUGCCCGACCCUGCUUACGACAUCACGCUUGACCGAGUCGUGCAGGUUGACUUUUUAUCGAGCUCGUGGUUUCUCUCCGCCGAGCUGGUGAAGACCCUCUUCAUCGAGACGCCUUUCACUUUCAUGACAGGGGAAGAUCUGCACUUGAGGUAAAUUUAAUUAGUGUUUUCUUUACACUUUUGUGACAAAAUUUAAAAAAUAAAAAUAAAUUAACAUAUGAAUGCAAAUGCAGUUAUCAGCUACAAAAGUAUAGGAAUGCGGGUUCGUUCGUUUUGCCUGUGGAUCCGAAGGAUAAAGAGACAUGGGGAGACAGCGAGCAUAGGUUGGCUUACGUGGCAGAAACAACUGUGAUCUUUAAGGAUAUUGUCCAAGUACGAGACGAUCAAUGGUGGAAAGCGCUCUCCAACGGGUAUAUAACUCAGUGGGCCGCUAUGAACCCUCAAAAGAUCGACGCCCUUUUCUACGCGCACUCCAUCGAAGAGGUAAAGACCCUUUCGCCCCUCCUCGAAAAAUUCCGAACCACCGUGGGGAAGAAGGCCUACAUAGUCGUCUCGGGCGGGGGUUUCUGCCCCUGCGAGGAGGCGGCGGUGGCUUUAAAGUGGCCUAAGUCGGUGUGCAAGGAGAGACGGUUCAAGAUUUUCGAUCUCGGGAUUGGUGCGAUAUCCGCUGCGGUUUCCGACUCGGAGGUUCCCGUUUUUCAAGGUGUGUAUGCGAGCAUGAAAGGGUUGAUCAAGAUUCAUAACCCGAGUGUGGUAAUUGCGGUUUCUGAUAUCGAAACGAAUGUGAAGAAGGCGUUGAAAAUGGCUGCCGAGACGAAUUUGAACGGCUCGACUUUGGUGCUUCUGCCGAGAUCUACGGUGCCGAAGGCACUUUGGAUGGCCGAUCUCCGACCGACGGCCUUGCCUAGUAAGAACUUAACACAAACUUAUUAAUUCUAUUACUGCACAUAAUUAGAGGAGGAAAUUGGAAAAAAAAUUCGAAUUCUGUUGAUUCUGAUCCAAAUAUUUUUUUUUUAAUUUUACGAACAAUAUUUUUCAUUCCGAAUUCUGAAAGUUCCGACUAUUUUACUUUUUUCAUUCCAAUUUCCGAUCCGAUGUUAAUUUCUUAAAUUUUUUUUAAAACUCCAAAACAGAAUUCUGGAAAUGAAACUUACAAACAAUAUUAUGUAUUUUAUACUAUUGGUACUAAAAAAAAAGGAAAUGAAUUCUGUCGAUUUCGACCCAAAAAUUUCCAAUAUUGCAACAUUUUUUUUUCCAUUCCCGGUUUUCCCAGAAAAAUUCUGAGUGAAACUAGUUUUUCACUUCCGAAAGUGUCAGUUCAGAUUCGAUCAGUCCGACUUCCACCCCUACACAGGGUGCAUUUUCUUGAUUUCAACUCCUAACCAUAAUUUUUUUAUUCGAAAAAACGCAGAUUGGAAUCGAAUGAGGCUGUCAAUAAGCAUCAUCACGCAAAACCGCGUCAAUUCCCUCACGCGCCUCCUCAAGUCCCUAUCAAACGCCUACUACUUAGGCGACGAGGUGGCGAUCACCUUCAACAUGGACAGCAAAGUCGACGAGGCCACACUAAAGCUCGCAAACUCGUUCGAGUGGGCCCACGGCCCGAAGAUCCUCCGCCGCAGGAUCAUCCAGGGCGGAUUGAUCCGGGCCGUAAGCGAGAGCUGGUACCCUUCGUCGGACGACAACUUCGGCCUCCUACUCGAGGACGAUAUCGAAGUCUCCCCAUACUACUACCUAUGGAUAAAGAACGCUCUUUUAUCCUACCACUACGAUCCACAAGUACAAUUACCCGAACUAGCCUCGAUUUCUCUGUACACGCCGCGUUUGGUUGAGGUGGUGAAGGAGAGGCCGAAGUGGAAUGCGACGGAGUUCUUCAAAGGGAUACACCCAAACACGCCGUACCUGCACCAAUUGCCCUGUAGCUGGGGGGCGGUGUUCUUCCCCAAACAAUGGAGGGAAUCUACGUGUAUAUGAACACUAGGUUUACGGAGGAUGCGAAGCAGAAUCCGGUGCAGAUUCCGAAAUCGAGGACGAGGCGGGUGGCAGGCUUCGUGGAAGAAGUUUCUGAUUGAUAUGAUGUAUUUGAGGGGUUACGUGAGUUUGUACCCUAAUUUCCCAAAUCAGGCGAGCUUUUCGACGAAUCAUAUGGAGCCCGGCGCGCACAUUAGCGCCAAGGACAAUGUCGUGAAGCACGAUAAAUCGGAUUUCGAGGUGCCGCUGUUGGGGAGGGAUUUUAGGGAUUUGUUGCCGAAUGGGAAAUUGCCGCCGGUGGGGAAGCUGCCGGCGUUGAAUUUGUUCAAUCAGGCGGUGUCGUUGAAGGGGUUGAAGGCCGCCGGAGCUAAGCUAGGGCAGGAUGUUCUGGAGUGCGGCGCGGCGGAGGUGGUGGUGGUGGAUCGGGAAACGGGGUUGGCUUCCCAUUGUGCCAAGUUCUGAUUGGUUGAUUUUGAGCUGCUUUUUUUUUUUUUUUUUUAAUUAUUAAAUUAUUGUUUAUUUUUAGCUGUAGAUUUAUUUUAUUUAUAUUGGAAAUUAAACUGUAAAAUUAUUAUUUUGGAAUUUUACUAAAGAAUGAAAAGAAAGAUAAAAGAAGUCCUUAUUUUGGGAGAAAUAUAAACUGAAAUGUUAUUCAUAGAACAUAUUUUACCACCUUGGAAUGCGAUUUUAUUUCAUUUGUAAUUUUCAAAGUAAAAAACCACAAUCCUCUCAAACUCUUUCUCAACUAUAUUUCGUGCAUGAACAUUUCGUAUUUCCUAACACGGAAUAGAUGAAGGCAUUUCGUGCAAAGAAGAACGAAAUAGUGUUUUUUUCACGAUACACGAAACCAUAAAUUUAUGUUUUUUAUGCAUUUCGUGUUGUAUUGCACUAAAUGCAAUACUGCAUUUCGGGCAAUACAACACGAAAUGCAUAAAAAAUGUCAAAAUUCGAUAAAAAAAAAAUGCGUUUUUAUCUCAAAAUUGAAGUAGGUUUCUUUCGUAUUGAUAAUUAUUGUGUUUUGAUUGAUAUUAUCGGAAAAAAAUGACGAUUUGAAAAGUUUAAAAAUUCAGAGGUUGAGAGAAUUUAGGAAAAAGUUAAAUAAAUUCUUGACAAAUGAAUUAUUUCGCACUGUAACUGGAAAAAAUUGCACUAUGAAUAGUAAACCCCAAAAUAAAUCGAGGUAGGUUUAGGAGGGACUAAAAUGCAACUAUCCCAUUUGAACCCAUGGGCUUGUGAAUUUGGGUUUUCUGUGUGGACUUUUUUGUAGUUAAGCCCUCAUAAUGUUUACUUACUUGGGCCGUAUCAAUAUAUUGGACCAAUUAAUUAUUUUCUUUUUUCAGUACCGUUGCAAAAUAUAUAAAUAAAAAUAUUAAUUCAAGCAACAAUAGCAUGUGAUGAAAAAAUAAAAUCAAGCAUGUCAGAAUUUUAAAUUUAAUACUUUUUUUUUGAUAAGUGAAUUUUAAAUUUAAUACUCAAUUAUAUUAAAUUGAUUAAUUUAUAAACCAGUAUACUAAUUAGUAAUUUCUGGAUGACAGGUUGUUGCAUAUAAGUAGACAGGUCAAUUCUGAUAAUCACCAUGUGAUGAUAUUUGAAAUAUUAUAAAUUCAAAAAAUAAUCCUUGGAAAAUCACUAAGAACAAAUAGAUAAAAUAUAAUAAUAUAUAACUCGAACUAUAACAAAUAAUCUUUCGAGUACGAUAUCUUUUAUCGUAUGUGUAGAUCAAUUAUUUGAUCUCGAUAUUGUCUCUAUAGUUAUGCUACUAAUUCAAUAUAGUAACAAUAUAAAUAAUUUAAAUAAUUAUUUUAAAUAAGUUAAGCAUUCGACGAUAAUAUUGUUGCCAGUGUCGUCACAUUUUUUUAGUAGUGUCAUUUUGUGAAUCGGCUCAAUUUUUGGUCAUAAUUAAAUUGAUGAUAGUGUUCUUUUCUCACAUAAUUAAACCAUAAUAAUGAUGAAUUUAUAAUAAAUGAAGAGGAUGUUUUUACAAAUAGGGAAAAAAAAAGAGAUGCUUUAGAAAUAUCUAGAAAAAAGUAUCUAAAGGCAAAAUAGCCUUUUACUUUAAAUAUCUUUUUUCUUAAAAGAAUAUAUAUCUCCAUUAACAAAGUCCAAUAAAGCAUUUUAAUGGGAGUGUAUGUAAUAUGUUUUAACAUAUAUUCUUGUUUAUAAGAUGUAAAACUCGAUUCGUGUUCGAGUUCGAUUAUAAAAGAAAUAUGUAUACAAGAUUAAGUCUCUCGAAAUUGAUUGAUGUCAGAAUAAAUUGAAGCUCAAAUCAACCCAAUUCAAUUGUUAAUCGAAUCAAGCUCAAUACUUUUUUCCUUUUUCUCUUAUCUACCUCGAAUACAAGUUUAAAACUCUUUUUUUUGUGUGUUAAAUUUGACAUACGUUUUUUUUUAUCACAAAAAGCUUAAAUGAUGAUUAUAAAAUAAUAAUUAUUGAUUAUACAAUUAUAAAGUAAUGUGUAAUUAAUAUACAAUUCUUGACUUCCAAUGCCCUUCAAUGCAAAAUUGUGAUUGGGAAAAUUAUAGUUUACACCCCUUAAAUUUGCACUGAUUUCACAUUUGGUCUCUUAUAUUCUCAAAAAAACUCAUUUGGCCCCUUAUAGUUAAAUAAUUUAACACUUUUGAUCAUUUCCGUCAAUUUACCAUUGGUCUGUCAGUUAAGACAGUGUUGAACACAUACUUGAUUCCGUUAUUACUAAUGGAAGAUUGACGAAAUGACUAAAAAUGUUUAAUUUUUGAAAUAUGAGGGAGCAAAUGUAUUUUUUACGAACUUGGGGGUCCAAAUUUGAAAUCGUGCAAAUUUGAGGGGUGAAAUUUGUAUUUUCCCCAAUUGUGAAAUUACUUAGGAAUUUAAUAUUUAAAAAAAGAAAAAAAAGAAAGUUGGUGGUUCAACUUUUUGCCUAAUCACAUGACAGAUUGCUCUAUAUCAUUGGUCAAUGGGGCACGCGUCUUUGUUUGAUUCAAUUGUCUUGUUGAAGUGUGUCGCUCAAUUAUUAUUUAUUUAUUUAUUUUAAUAUAUUCUUCUUUUAGUUGUUAUUAUUCCCAUUCAUUUUCUUAAAGUCAAAAAGACCAAAAAUACCAAAUUGAAUUACCUACUCUGAUAUUCGAUGCUCGCUGAAACUCUAAUUCAACACAAUUUGAUCGAUUUACCAAAGAGCACAAAACCACCGAAAAUGUAAUACAGUAGAAUCUCGAUAAUAUUUUUUUUUCAGUAUCGAGCAUGUAAAAAUGUAUUAAAUUACUAAUUCGAUAAUUUAACAUCUCGUUAAAUUCAUAAAAAAAUUCUACACUAGACAAUGCACAUUUUAUCUUUGUUUUUUGGGAACCCUCCAAAAUUUGAAGUUUUUAAUUUCAGAGAGAUAUGAAUAUGAUUGAAGUGGAAAAGAAUAAUAGUAUUUUACAGGAGGGUGAAAAGGUAAAUUAAAUUUAAAUGUUAAAUUUGCCUUUUUUCUUUUUUAUUUUUUAUUUUUUUGUUGUCGCUGGGAAUAAUACCAUUACGCCUCUCUCAGGAACACGAAGAAAAACUAACCUCUCUCUCUCUCUCUCUCACACACACAAACACACACACUCUCUUUCUCUCUCCCCAAUCACCUCCCUAAUCGACGGGCCAAAAGCUUGUAAGCACCAAAAGCUUGUAAGCACUCUCAAACCCUAGUUUUUCUUCUUCCUAACCUGUCUGAUUUAAAAUUUUUGAUUUGUUUUUGCUAAGUUUAAAAAAAAAAAUCUAUUUGUUUUUUUUAAAUUUAUUUCUCGUACAUUUGAGUAAUAGUUGGUCGAUCUUCAAGGAUUUGAAGCGGAAUUCGCUGCGCGCAUUUUUAUUUUUUCGUGAAUUUAAGUUUGUGAUUUCGGUUUUUAUUUGUUGAUUUAAAUCCUGCAAAAUUUUUGUUUCUCCGCCGCUGGGGUUUAAGAUUUGUUUGUAUUUCUGAUCAGUGAUUUACUUAGGGAAUUCAGAUGAGUGGAGAGGUAGAAACUUCGAUUAGUUUCGAGUAAGCACAGAUCGUCGUGUUUUUGUUGUUUUUACGCUCGGCAUAUUGCCACCUGUUGCAUGUGCUUCAGGAGUUGUUCCACGCAGAUCAAAAUUUGAAGUAGGAUAGUUUUGGUAGAGAACUCUUUUGCUGUAUUAAGUGAUAAUUUAUUGGGUACAGAGUACUCAAAUUUUAUGUUUUGUGUUAGCUUCCGUGCUAUGUAAAUUUUUUUACAUGUGAAUAUGUUUUACAGGGUUGUCAAUCUGUGAACUGCAACCUCAGAUUUGUGAAAGUGGCAGAUGUGCUAGAUUAUUCUGCAGUUGCUCAAAUAAUCGGGUUCUGCCUAGUGCGUGACCUUUGAGUUGAGCAACUUCUCUUUAUCCUAAUGGGCACCUCGCAUCGGAGGUUUGUUGAGGCUUACGUUUUGAUUUUCAGUAUGAAACGAAUCUCUGCCCUUUAGUUUACUUUAAUUUUUUUUUCACCUUUUCUUUUUGCAGUGGGGUGUUAAAGAGGUCAAAUGACGGUGCGAGACUCAUUAUAACAACCAUCAUGGGCGUAGUGUUUGGAUAUUUUAUAGGUGUUUCGUUUCCUUCUGUUUCUUUAAGUAAGGUAUGACCCAGAUUGCCGGCUUGCUUGAUAGAGGAUGUUUAUCAACCAUUUUCAGAUAAUUGUAUUGUAAUAAAAAAAAUAUUAUUUGCAGAUUAAUCUACCUUCAAGUUUAAUAUCAUCGCUUGAUAUGGCCUUUAAUGAAGAUCAUCAAAACUCUGGUGAUCGUAGUUUUCCUGAAAAUCUUGGUUCUGGCAGUACUCCUUUGACACCCAAGGUAGUUUGCUUGUUCAUGUUCAUGUUCAUUUGGUAUCUUAGAUUACUACAUUUUCUGAAAUUUUGUAGCUUUUAGUUGUUAAAAUGAUAAAUGAUGGUUGGUUUCAUUAAACUGAUAUGGUUGACGUUGGGGGUAUUUUUCAUUUUCUUGCUCGCUUGAAUUGUGCACAUUUUUCGCAUGCUAUCUGUGCAUACCUUUUGCCUCUUACACAAACUUAUCUACAUUUUUAUCCUGAUUAUAGUAACUUUAUUUUUGCCUUUCAGAUAUAUGUUCCUACAAAUCCCCGUGGUGCACAGUCUUUGCCACCGGGAAUUGUUGUGUCAGAAACAGAUUUUUAUAUGAGAAGAUUAUGGGGUGAACCUAGUGAGGUAAGGUUUACAGUUCAUAGGCGUUAUAUGAAUUGCAAUGAGAUUUACAGAACUGAAGUAUGCUUAUACAAUCCCAUUCGGGAACUUUCAGGAUUUGAAAAGGAAGCCAAAGUACCUCGUAACAUUUACAGUUGGUUUGAACCAAAAAAAUAUUAUUAAUGCAGCUGUGAAGAAGGUUAAGCCAGUUCAAAUUUUUUGAUACCCUAAUUUGAUCUCCUUUUGGUUAAUAUUCAAUUAUACUAAGACCAAUUUUUCCAUGUUGUUGUAGUUUUCUGAGGAUUUUCAGAUAAUGCUUUUCCAUUAUGAUGGCCAGACAACUGAAUGGGAUCAAUUUGAGUGGUCACAGCGGGCCAUUCAUGUCAGUGUUAGAAAACAAACUAAAUGGUAAUAAGCAGGUCUUUUCUACAUUCUAGCAUUUGUUGAUUGCUUGAUUCUUGAUAUUGCCUAGGAUGUGUAUUAUGAAUAAUGUUAUGUUAUUGAAUUAAUAAAAUUUUCGUGAACAUACAUUGAUACUGUUGAAACUCAAUUGUGAAUUUUUUAUAAUUUGAAAUCUAAUAUAAAAUGAUCUUUUAACUUGACAACAAAAAGAUCAGAAAACUCUACCUUUGGGUGUUAAAAAUCGUAAGGUCACUAGCAUAACUUUACUAUCAUUUAGAUACUUGAUAUUUCGAACUGAAUUUUGAGUCUUGAUUUAGAAGGUAUUUUUUAAUAGUGAAAAUUAUACUCUCUGCAUGUGAUGAUUUCUCUUGAUUUUCUGUUUUCAUAGGUGGUAUGCAAAGAGAUUUUUGCAUCCAGAUGUUGUUGCUGCUUAUGAAUACAUUUUCAUUUGGGAUGAAGAUCUUGGAGUCGAACACUUUAAUGCCGACAGGUACUUGCUAUUUUUUAGUACCCGAUGCUCCAAUUAUUUAUGUGUUUUACGUCGUGUGAAAUUUGUCUUUUCAACUGAUGCCACUUUCUCUGCAUCUUAGGUACAUGGAUUUGGUUAAGAAACAUGGUUUAGAGAUUUCCCAACCUGGUCUUGAACCCAACAAUGGAUUGACAUGGCAAAUGACAAAGAGACGAGGUGACAGAGAAGUUCACAAGUAGGUUUACUGGUUUCUUAAUCGCCCUUUUCCUCGUAUCUGUCCACAUUUCUGACCUAUAGAUGUAUGGAUAUUGAUAACAGGGACACAGAGGAGAAACCUGGCUGGUGCAGCGACCCACAUUUGCCUCCAUGUGCAGCGUAUGCUCUCUAUCUCUCUCACUAUAUAAUGUACCUGUGUGAUUUAGCAUUUAUGUAGACAUGUAUUACAGGCACAUAUGAUUAACUUAAUGCUAAGUAAUCAGCUGCGUUUGGGAUAUCGACAGUUGAGUCGAUUAUUGGUUAUUAAGUAGUGCUUGGAAAUGAUGUCCAUUGAGAAGGAUAGGAGAAACCUUCAUGUGAUUUGACGGCAUCCAGUUCGAAGAUCACAAAUUAGAACCUUUUUUGUAGUAAAUCUAUGAAAAAUUAAGAUAGAUACUGAAAAUAAAGGUCGAGUCAGAUUGAAUAGUUAUCUGGAGUGUCAUAAUUAUAGUAAGCUUUACAAUAAGACCUCAAUGCUCAUUGGCCCAGACACACUCGGGUCUUUCACGAUCGUGACUAUUUUUUCACAGAAGUAGUGAUUUUUUUCUCUAGACCUGCAAUAUUUUUUGCUUGUCUAUUUUCCCUCAAAAUAUUUUCAAAAAUCUAUUAUAAUCUUUAUUUCUCUUUGUGCUCAUGUUCAGCUUUGUGGAAAUUAUGGCUCCAGUAUUCUCUCGUGAAGCUUGGAGAUGUGUUUGGCAUAUGAUUCAGGUAACGAUGGGCUUUUUGGGUCUGCGCGAUUGGCUUUAACCCUGCUCUCUUUUCUUAUGGAUUGAAUCUGUUCACUUUCGGUGCUUUCCAUGAUUGAAAUUGCUUUCCUUGUCUAUCAUGUGUUUGCAGAACGAUUUGGUUCAUGGAUGGGGAUUAGAUUUUGCAUUAAGAAGAUGCGUGGAGGUUAGUGAUUCUCUCUCUCUCUCUCUCUCUCUCUCUCUCUCUCUCUCUCUCUAUAUAUAUAUAUAUAUAUAUAUAUAUAUAUAUAUAUAUAUAUAUAUACACACACACACACACAUCUAUAUGUGUGUGUGUGUGUGUGAAUAAUACUUGAAUUUAAAGGAGGAAAAUAAAUACAUAAAAGCAAGAAAAGAAUCAUGUGUUUAUCAGACUCAAUAGAUACAACGAGAGUAAUUGGCAAGUGGCAACGUUUUAUUCCAACUUUAGACUAUGUUGCGCAAGCUAAUUCUUGAAGGGCUUUGGUGGCCCUUAGCCUCAAAACCUUAUAAUAACUUGUAUUUGCCCAUGCAGCCUGCACAUGAAAAAAUUGGGGUGGUUGAUUCCCAAUGGAUUGUGCAUCAAGUGAUUCCAUCGCUUGGAAGUCAGGUCAGACAUUCAACGACCCCCUAUUAUUCUUGCAUAAUCAUUGUUUUCGUUUAUUCUUCUUAUUUCUGUACAUGUUUGACGCAUUCUUGGCCCGGGUAUAGUUUCUUAGAUCUGAUUCCUCCCUCUGCAUAAAUGUGUAUCCAUAUAUUCAUAUACACAUACUUAUGCCUGUAUACAAUUAUGUAAAUGUAUAUGUAAAAAAGGGUCUAUCGAUGAGUAUGGGUGCAUAUCUUUUUUACGCUGCUAAUGUUUAUCUUUUAAAUACGUCUAUCCUUGCUACACUUGGAUACUUCAUAUUACAGAAUUAGCAGCCUUACUCUAGAACUAUCAUAUUACAUUAUUUUUAUUCAAGUUUCUUUCGUUACAUGCUUGUUCUUGUGUUUUGUUAUUCAGGGCGAGACCGACAAGGGGAAAGCACCAUGGCAAGGGGUAAGUAUAUAUACAUAUCCAUAACUAUGUCUAUAUUCGCGUGAAUGAUGUGAUACUCUGGUCUCUCACCCUUACUGUAUAACUUGGUAGAGCUAUAUUUGUUGCCGAUUCACAAUUGAAUGGCAACAUGGGAAUUCUCAAACGACCCACACCCACACCCCCGCUUUGUUAAUUGCCAAUAUUUUAUAUGAUCUGUUUCUAGCUUCUGAAACAUGUGAUUUUGGCUUUCCUAGGAAGAGUUAUGUCGAUAAUUUACUAUGUGCUGAUCAGUAAUAUCAACUUAUUUAAGAAGCUAAAACGAUAGGGAUAUUGUCAAGGAACCGAAUUGAAUCUAAUCAAAACUAAUUCUUUACAUGUAACCGAACGAGGCUGAAGUUUUCUGUAUGCUGUUUUUGGUUUAAUGUCUGUUCAUCUCCACUCGUAUAAUAAAAAAAUGUCUGAGCUCAUAUUUUCUUUUAUUUGUAGGUACGAGAUAGAUGCAAAAACGAGUGGGCGCUUUUUCAGGACCGACUCUCAAAUGCAGACAAGGCGUUUUUUUUGGGGCGUCAGAAUCCUUAAACUAUGAUCUUAUCUCGUCUAAUCUUGUAAAUUGCUUUAAUUUUUUCCUUCUCGCUUUCCUUCCUAUCUCCCCCCGAGUGGCGUUUCAUAGUCCGAUUCUUUUAUUCCGAGUUAUAUCCCCUUUUCAGCUUAUAUCGGCUCUAGGAUAGCUGAGUUACCGGUAGCGUAAAAAAGACAUGGUCGAUACUGAAAAGAUAAGUUCCGUUUUUUGUGUGCAGAAGUAGAAAUAGGUUCUAUUUAGUUAUAUUAUGUAUGCCGAUGGACACAUUAGUAUUAUUACAUAAUUUGUUGUUUUCGCAAAUCUUCAUGCUUUAUGUAUGCCGAUGGACACAUUAGUAUUAUAGUAUUAUUACAUAGUCUGUCGUUUUCGCAAAUCUUCAUGCUUUGUUUGUACGUAAAUAACCAGGUGUAGCAUCUAACACCUCCAAUUUCAACCCAGUGUAUAAAUUAAAAAAAAAAAAAAAACAUGAUGGAAAAGACUAAUUUACCCAUAAUCAUUAAGAUAUAAUGACAGAGGCGCGUGGUGUAAAAACAUAUAGUGACAUAAGUUAAAUGCCAUUUUCGUGAUAAAAUAAAAAAAAAGUCCUUACCUCUCACCAAAUAGAGGUCCAUAUUGUGGUGUUGUCAACAUUUUGCUUACUCACAAAGAAGUGUUCAUUCUACCUUCCUAUCUUCUGUCCUAAGUUUAUUAUUUUAAAAUUUUGCUUAAAUAAAAAUAAAUAUUUAUUUAUUAAAUUACUAAUGUUAGUUAGCAAAAGUAUGCUGCUAAUGGCUAUUGUACAAAUUAUAUAUUAAUAUUCCUGAAUAAUUAAAAAAAUAAAUAUAUAUAAUAUGGUUAUUGAUUAAUGAAGAAAAGAUUGGUGUCCUUGCUUAAAAUGGCCGUUAGCUAUAGUUUGUGGAAGGACAAAGCUAAUACAAAGUUAGCACCAACCACUCUCUCAUCAUUCCCAUUAAAAAACACUCCUCUUUUUGCUCUCUCAUUCAAUCCUCUCUCUCUCUCUCUCUCUCUCUCUCUCUCUCUCUCUCUCUCUCUCUCUCUCUCUCUCUCUCUCUCUCUCUCUCUCUCUCUCUCCACAGUUGAGCUGAGCCGCCUCUUUUCCGGGAUUCUCUGAGACCGGUUUGUGCUGGUGUGCAAGUUUAUCGUUUUUCAUUACGACGUGCGUCGUAUACGUGCAUUCUUGUAAGCGCUUUUUUUUUUCUUGACAUUAUUUAGCAUUACAGAGACUCUGUAUAUUCAUCUAGACAACAAACAACAAUAUUAUCACAAACAAUUCGGACAAAAAUCAGCUUAUGCGUUGUUAUUACUAUUAUUAUUAUUUUCCAUAGCGACGAAGGCAUUUAAUUUUACGAUUUUUAUUUCCAUCGUUGCAUGAUCAUCACUACCACUAACUAUAUCUUUGUUCUUACUCAUUUAGUUUAUAUUUUUCCUAAUUAAAAAAGAUUGAUUUUUUUUUUCCUAGCACACAAUUACAUCACAUGUUUCACAAGUGGUUUACUUCCAAUUUAGCCUCUUAUUAGCAAUACUAUAAUUUGCAAUACUCAUUUUACUCAUUUCUCUCUCGAUUUUUCCGCAGACAAUGGGAGAGAUUUCGGGCUACCAAUUAGGUGUGAUGGGCGCAUUAUUUCUUUCCGUUGCUUCAUCGGUCUCCAUCGUCAUUUGCAACAAAGCCCUGAUGAGUAAUCUCGGUUUUCAGUUUGGUAAACCAUCGUAAUCUCUUCAUUUUUUUAAUUUUUUUUAUUUAAUCUUGAAAAACUAAUCAUCUUAUAAUAUAAUCAACAAUUUUAACUUCAUAUAGAAAAAGGGGUCCUCGAUUCUUGAAAUAUCGAACCAACGCUUACUAGUAGAUGAUCAUUAUAUAUUUUAAUAAUCGACUCGAAUAAUAAUCUAUUUCGUGUUGUAAUCUUUUUUUUUUUUAAUAAAUAAUUUUACAGCCACAACGCUUACUAGUUGGCACCUGAUGGUCACGUACUGCAGUCUCCAUGUGGCGUUACGAUUAAAUUUCUUCGAAAAUAAGCCGAUCGAUUUGAAGACGGUUAUUCUUUUCGGUAUGUUGAACGGAGUUUCCAUUGGACUUCUCAAUCUCAGCUUGGGGUUUAACUCCAUUGGCUUCUACCAGGUUAAUUAAAAUUAAAAAAACCAUCGAUUUUUACUAAUAAAUAUUAAUUUAAUUUUGCUUUCGCAUCGUAAAUACUCGACUUUUUUUUUCAGAUGACGAAACUUGCAAUAAUACCCUUCACUGUCCUGUUGGAGACAAUCUUCCUUAACAAACAAUUCAGGUCAGUAAAAAAAUUGCAAGAUUCUCGAAAUUCCAUAAUAUUUUCGACUUUUUUUUUAAUUUUUUAUUUAUUUUAAUUGUGUAUAUAAAUGCAGCCAGAAAAUAAAAUUUUCGCUAUCGAUUCUGCUACUUGGAGUUGGAAUAGCAUCCGUCACAGAUCUUCAGCUCAACUUUGUCGGAACAAUUCUCUCCCUUUUAGCCAUCAUAACAACUUGCAUUGGCCAAAUUGUAUACACAAAUCACUUUUUAAAUUCGUAAAACCGUCGUUUAUUCAUCGUCGUUUGUUAAAUACGCUUUAGAAUUUCAUUUAAUUUUUUUCCACUAAUAAAUUUCAGCUUACAAACACAAUACAAAAGAAGCUCAACGUUUCAUCGACUCAACUACUAUACCAAUCAGCUCCAUUUCAGUCGGCAAUCCUUUUCGUGACCGGUCCUUUCGUCGACCAGUUUCUGACCAAUCAGAAUGUUCUCUACUACAAGUACUCACCCCUCGUCGUGGUACGUAUAUUUAUGUUUAUUGCAUUUAGCCCCCUUUAUUAUAUAAAAUUGCUAAUAUAGUCCCUGUAUUAUUAAUAUUAGCAAAAAAAACCCUACAAUGCAAUUUUUUUAGCAAUUUGGUAAUGAUACAGGGAUGUAAUGAAAAAUAUUUAAUAUUUUUUUGUGACAAAAUUUUUAAUAUGCAGGGAUUUAUAGUACUAUCAUGCUUGAUAGCAGUGUUUGUGAAUUUUAGUACAUUCUUGGUGAUUGGGAAAACAUCACCAGUUACAUAUCAAGUACUUGGGCAUCUCAAAACAUGCCUUGUUCUUGCAUUUGGUUACACUCUCUUACAUGACCCUUUCACUUCAAGAAACAUCGUCGGCAUACUUAUCGCCAUUGUUGGAAUGGGAAUGUACUCGUAUUUCUGCACUAACGAGACCAAACGUAAAGUCAUCGUCGACGUUUCCACUAUGCCCCAGGUACUCACAUAUACAUAUAUAUAUUUGUUUGGUUAAAUCACGGCCACCCCCUGAGAUAAGGUCAAAUUACGAAGAAACCACUAUUAUUUGGGUAAUUACAGCCAUGCCCCUCAACUAUGAAUCUUCUUACACGUUUACCCUUAUGGUAACAUAAUCUUCUAGAUUCCGUGGGAUGUUCUCUAGUUUGUACUCGUUUUGUGCAAAAAUGCAGUUUCUGAUGCAUCAUAAUAUGACAUUUACAAGCCAAGAGACACAUCUUAUGAUCAUCUUGUUUCAAAACGUGGAGCUCGAAUGGGGUAAAACGAGUACAAACUUGAGAACAUUCCACAUAAUCUAGAAGAUUCGACUAAAUUUUACACUACAAGGAUCAACGUGUAAAAAGAUUUAAAUUGAGGGGGCGUGGUUGUAAUUACCCAAACAUGAAUUUUUCUUAAUAAAUAAUAAUAAACUGGGAUUCUUGAUAGUUUGGACUUUGGACUAACUAAUAUUUAUUUAUUUUAUAUUAUUUUUAGAUGAAAGAGAGAGAUACAACUCCACUUCUAGCCAGCCAUCUUCAAGAUAAAGAAUCAAAGGAUUCUGUUGUUUGAUAUCAAUCUGUGUGUAUUAGUUCCAUGUUUGUUUGAUUAGCAGACAAGUUUUGAUUUUUUUCCUUAAUUCUUUUGCAUUUUGAGAAGUUUGUUGGAUCUUUUGUGAGAUUAUUAUUUGUUUAGUCCUUUUUUUUUUCAUUUAGAAUUUCAACCAAAAAGGAGGGAGUUAAUUUGCAAAAACCCCCCUUGUGCUAUUUUGAAUUUCUAAUAAAAGUCCCUCGUAUUAUUUUUAUUAGCAUAAACCUCUCUGUAUUGUAUUUAUUGCUUUUGAUUUUGAUAUUUUAAAAUUGUUUACAAGCAAAAAAAUACACGUGUUUUCUAAGAAAUACUUUAUAUAAAAUGGGAUUAUCAAAUUAAUUGAGAAAAAUAAAUUAAAACAAAUGAGCAAUUUAUAAAAUAAAGUAGUUUUUUUCUAAUAAAAUUGAAAAUAUUAAUUUUGUAAAAAAAAUAAAAAAUUAGAAAAAAAAAACUUGCAGCUAAAAAUAGGAGAAAUUAGUUAAGAAAGGUACAACUGGUCAAAAUAUAUAGUUUGAGUAAACUGCAAAAACUACCCCUGUAUAAUCUUGAAAUAGCAAAAACCCCCUUGUGAUAAAUAAACUAGCAAAAACCUCCCCUGUGAAAUUAUUUAAAUAGCAAAAACCCCCCUAUGGAACUAUUUGAGGGUUGACUUG